rnacentral:lncRNA from 1 species
UAAAUUUUAGAUUUUGUGUAGUUUACUUUAGCUCGAAUUCAUGAAUUAUUAUGUGAAUUGCAAAUCUGAAUUUAGAGCAUGUGACAAAUAAAUUAAGUAAUUUAUACAUGUUGGACUUGAAAAUUAAAUUAGGAGAGAACCGGCGAGUUGGACCUGUUAUCAGUUACACUACCUGAUUUAGCCCUAGGGGACGUUGUAUUAUUUUAUACUGUAGCAGUAUCCUCAUAGUGAGUAUUCCAGAUAGUUUAGCUUUCAGUUACACUCGUGCUGGGAUGCCGAGUAUAUUUUUAUAGUAGCGUUCAGACUGUUCCGGACUGUUGGGUGCCGUUGAGGUUGACGGUGGACCCGUAUCGCCUUUUUGGCGACAGAUUGUGCCGAAGGCACGUAACCUGUUGGUGGUUAGACCAGUUAGAGUCGGUUACUUGGAUUUUGGCUUAAGGUAGAGCCUGAUUGAGCUCGACAGAGAUACGCUACAUACUCGGUUGGGUAGCUUCCACGAGUGCCACUCCGGAGACGGGCGUUGUGCUUUCGCGUUGGUGUCGCUCAUGCCGGUUGGACUUGCUCUCCACGAACUAGAUAGUGUGGAGGUAGCUGGAUAGUCGCAACUGGGCAGGGACGGGUGUGUUCACAGUCCCAGGGACGGGUAUGCUUACAGUCCCGAUUAGAUUGGGUCAGAUUUGACAUUUCCUAUAGUUGGUUAGUGUAGAGCAUGAUAGUGUAGUGAUUCAUAGCGGUAGAUUUUAUUCCUGCAUUUACUACUAUCAUUGCUCCCUUCUGUAGACUUAGUGGGUGGACCGAUGUUGUUGAGGGCGGCACCCACUGAGGACUACUUGUUUUACAGUAGUUCUCACACCCUGUUGUUACUCUAUUUUUUGCAGAGCCAUCGUCUUCGGCUGCUGCUGUUGCUGAUCUGGACCGAGGCAAGGGCGUCGCGAGUUAGAGCCCUACCCGACGAGUCGAGUUAGAGGAUCACCUGCAGCAGGUAAUUACUUUUUGGUGGAGUUUAUGUACAUACAGUUGUUUAACUCACCAGUGCGAGUAGUUUUGUAUCUUGGAUUUGGCGUAUGUAUAUGGAAUUCGGUUUAUUUUAUUUCUGGUUCUUCUAGCAGCUCUAUACUACUGUUAGUAGUAUUGUAUGAUUUACAGGUACAGCUAUCGCUUCGUAUACAAGAAAAAUUUCUUUGUAUACGGCGGAUUUGUCGGCGUGCCCGGGGAACGUAUAAUCCGGGGCGUGACAUGAAUUUUUGAUAGAAAAUUCUAUUCACUAUGUAAAUGAAGAUCAAUAACUCCGAUUUUAAAUUGAAGGAUCUGAUCAUCUAUUUUUAGGACGUUGUUCGAUUUUAACUAUUCAUUUUAUACCCGCCUGAUGGAUUUUAUAAUAAUUUCGAAAAAUUACGAAAUUUAUUUUCUAGAAAUUUCAAAUACUCUAGAUCUUUUUUAAUAGUAUGGAUAGUCGAUUCGAAAAUCCCAACAUUGAAAAUAACUUAUGAGUACGAAGAGCUCUGUACUCAUGAGAGUAUAGUAGCUCUACUAUAUAUAUAUAUAUAUGUAUAUAUAUAUACAUAUAUACAUAUAUAUANNNNNNNNNNNNNNNNNNNNNNNNNGAUAGACAAAGUAAAUAAUUCAUUUUAUUUAAAUCGAUGUUGGCACUCGGUCGCUCCCGGAAUUAUCUAGCUUUUGUCUUUUUUAAAGAAAAUUUUUAUCUUCCAAGCUCUUUCUCCUUCUUUUCCCCGGUUACCGGUUUCCGUCACGGACAGGGCGUUUAGGUUCUCGGAUGUUUAUAGAUCGAUAAUAGUGUUCAAUUUAUAUAUCUAAAAAAAAUAAUUGACUUUACGCAAUUAAUAAAAAGCGGUCAAAAACAGCGUUAUUUAAUUCACGGAUGACAAGGACUUUAAAUGAUCAGUGAUGUUUUACGAGUCCGUACACGAAGAGAAUAGUGUUGAUCAGAAUUUAAAAGUUAAGUUGGUAAGUUACUUUGUUUAUUUGAAUUUCUCUUACGGUUACACUUCGUGAACGUAUAUGUAUACCAUUCAGCUCUUUGUUCAUUUGUAGAUUAAUCUAGAAUGAAUCCUAUCUAUUAUGUCAUGUCCGCCUUCUUGGCUAAUUGAUAUUUACAAUUCGAUGAUUUCUUGGAACAAAAUUAGUGAAUAUGAUUUUAUGAUAGAAAGUGUAUACCCACGUUCUUAAAACUUAUCUUAGGGUCGUUUGCCCGGUGGCAAACUUUGUCUAGAGGACGACACUAUGGUAUACUUUAUAAACUAUCAAAGAUUUGUGAAUUUCGAUCUUCAAUGACUACGAAAAUAGUACUAAAUGCCACUUCUUGUGCCAUCUUCUCUUCCCUGAUCGUUUAAGUUUACUAUGUAACUCAAUCUUCAUUCGUUCUUGAAUAUCGUUCAAUUUCUUACGUAAGUCUUGUUGGAAGGUAUUUGUAAUGGUUUGAUUCGUUGGUAUAAUACUACCAAGAAGAUAAUAAUUACAUUGAGUCUUAUCGUCUUUAGUAAUUAUAAAUACACGAUGAAGGUUAUAGAUAGUUAUAUGGAUCGCUUUAUGUAUUUUACAAGUUGUAUAGUCUGCAUGAUGUUCUAGAUGAGUUAUAUAUCCUGUGAACUGUCUUAUUGCCUUAGACCUUACGAUGUAUAUAAAUAGUUGAAUCAAUUUUAAACAUCCGUUAUUGCUCUAGACUCCGACAUAUUAACUAGUCGUGUUCUUCUCAUAUAUAUAGAUUCCUACUCUACACGUAUAAGGUGUUUAGUGCGUAGAGGAAUGGAGAUUAUACUAGCUAGCUAGGUUAUAACUUAAAAGUAGGAACAUCCCUACGUCUGUACCUCUAUAGUACUAUGCUGAACUUAAAAGCUGGAACCGGUGGCGUCAGCGGUGGUGAUGAUAACGGUAGUAGUCAAGGUAAUGUUCGGGUUAUGUACCGGAAAAUUUCACUUAGCCUCCUUUACUUUACUCUGGUCCUUGUACGUUUUUGAACUUCUAUGCUUACUGGAGAAUGAAACUAUCGUCCGCUUCUUUUUUCCAAAUAACGAGUUUAAAUAUAUAGGAAAUUUGAGAGUUACGGAUGGUGUUGAUGGCGGUCGAAGAGGAUGGGAACAACGAUUAAAACGUUCGUGAUAGAACUGAAUUAAGAACGUAGUAAUGAACUUGUACAUACGUGUAUGUAAUCUAAAGUGAGGUUGUGACAGUAAUGACGGUAAUUAAAGUGUACCAUAAUCUCGCCUAGGUUUCGGAGUCAAAGCACUCCGAUUAAUUAAAUCACUCAAUUUAGGAAUCGGUAAUGGAGAAGAUAAACACGUUCGUCUAUACCAGAUGGACUAGAGGUGAAAUAUACUUACGUCCGCUGAUUUUUAAAAUUUUGAUAAGGAUCCAGCUGUUCAGGUUAAUCUAAUUUAAUUAAAAAUGCAUUAUAAUAAAGAAUAUAGUUUGAAGCUCUGAGAAUCUUUAAAUUGAUUUAUUUAUCUAUGGAUAGUUUGAGAAUUGAGGUUUAAAGACGAAGGUGGACUUUAAUUAAAAACUAAUUGUCAAUUCUAAAUUAUGACGUUUAAUGUUAAUUGUCAAUUCUGAAUUAUGACGUUUAAUGUAGGCUUCCACCAAGUGUUUCUAGCCCGGUAAUUAUAUAAUCAGGUUUUCCUUCACUUUAAUAGUAGUGGUUAUUAAUGUCUUCUUCGUGUGGACCCUUAAAGAUUCUGUCUUGAUUGUCUAUUAAAGGUAUCGUAGUAACGGAAUUUACUCAAAGACUAUCUUAAAGACUUUAUACUAAAGUACGGUUAUAGAAAGAUUUUACAUCUUUAAAAUUGGAUAAUUGCGAUUUCCAUACCUAGCUUGAGUGUUAGAACGUCUGCCACUCUCGAGUCUUAAACAAAAAUAUGUAUAACGGACUUUUUAGCUAGACUAUCAUUUGUUCUCUUUUAAUAUAAAUGGUGCACACAAAUAGUUAUUUACUCAUCUGUAAAAUUCUUCAAUUUAUUUUAAAAGGAUCUGCUGAAUAUACUAAGGAGAUAACAUGUACACUUGAAAGAAUAAAAGGAUUUAUAUUCAGAAAAUACCGAAGAUCCGGACAAGUUAUUAAAAUGAACUUCACGAGUGUACAGUUUUUGAGAACUUAGGUUUGUACUUUCCCGAAGUCGGCCGUCGAAUUCAAAAUCUCUGUUUGCUGAAAAUCAAAAGUCUUUGUAAUACGUCUGUUGAUUCUCUACUAGCUAUCAUCCAGAAUGACAACCGGUUAGAAAUAAUUUAAUAAACUACUCUUACUAUUAGUGGUAGGAACAUUUAAUUAAAUUACACCUCAUGAUGACAAUAUAAGAGUUAUAUAUAUAUAUAUAUAUAUAUCUCAGGCCGAUGAUAUGAUUAGUAUCAUGGUUCGGGAACCAUGAUAACUCAAAAGAUGGUAAUCUAGAUGGGAAACUAGUAAAGGUGGGCAAUCUAAUAUGAUAAUUUGGUUGUUGGGUGAGUUGGGAUCCCCUGGUGAUAGUUAAAUUGGCCCUUGGUGAUAGUAGGAUUGGCGUGUAGGAAAGUAGGUUGCCUGUUUUUGAGUUAUCAUGGUUACCGACCCAUGAUAACUAUCAUAUCAUCGUAUUAAGAUAUAUAUCUUGGAUUAAUUAAUUCAACAUCUUUUUCCACCACUUUCCUAUUACUCGUGUUCUUUGGAUGGAAGGAGUUACUCCUCUGUUUAAUUCGUUUACUUUGUCAGGUACUCCUGGUGUUGGAACACUCGUGUAGUUAGAGGUAGAAAAGUUAUAUUAUCGAGUUUAAUUUGUCAUCUAAGAGGUAAUUAACCUCAUCUCACUAACGAAGAAAAAAUUGGUUUUCUUCGUUUCGUUGUUCUUAGGCAUCCUGGUUCUUUUAGAAUGGUCUGAGGAUUUAUCUAGGCUAGUAAUCAACUUGUCAGUUAGUACGAUGGUUCCGUUCGAUUUUACAUCGUGUGUCUUAACCUCUUUCCAAUAUAUAUAAUAUACUCCAUUUAGUUCGUAUUUAACCAAAGUAAAAGGUUUUGGAAAAUUGGUUCAAAUCUCUUCGUUGUUUAAUUGAUCUACAAUAUAACUCCCCGGGACUGUGUACGUGGGUGGGUACGGUACGUAUACAUUUUGGUGUGAGGUCGUUGGUUGAAAUUAUGGUAUUUUUCUUUGCUUUCUCUAGGGUUUUCCUCUAGAGUUUCCUGUGGGGAUUCGUUACUUGAGAGCCAAGUUCAUGACAUGAAUAUAAGAGGGGAGAGGGAUCGUUUGAGUCUAUCUUGUAUAUAGGAGGGAGCAGGGGGAAUAAUGGAUUUACGGUGAGUAGGUAGAGGAGAGGAGAGGGACUAGCCAGCGGUUAAGGAGAUCGAUGGUCUUUGAUUAUGGUUGCUAAUUUGUUUGGACAAAAUUAAGUAAGAGAGAGAGAGAGAGAGAGAGAGAGAGAGAGAGAGAGAGAGAGAAAUAUAUAUAUAUAUAUAUAUCACCAAAUUGUUACUCGUGUGUUUGUCGUUAUUAAUUCGAGUGUGAUAAAUAUGUUUGUCGUAUAUAUAUAUAUAUCGUUAUCGUUAUCGUUAUCGUUAUCGUUAUCGUUAUAUCGUUGUCAUUAUCUAUACUAGCUACCCCGGCCCGUAUGGUUUACACUACUAGUUUGUACGUUCUCGAUCGCUGGCUAGCUCGCUAAUAACUAACCAGAAGAACAAGUUCCUCUUCUUCUGCUUCUCCGACGGCGACGCCGCCCCCCGCCGCCCCCGCCCCCUACCACCAGCCACCGCCACGCAACGUACCCCCCCCCUCCGUCCUCCCCGACGAAGAACGCGAAGAAGAAGAGCAUCGACUACGGCGCCCGGAAGAGGACCACGACCGCCUGGAGCGCCUCCAUCUCCGCCUGCCGCGCCCGCCGCUUCCCCAACAAGAGCCCCGCCGGCGGCGGCAAGAGGAGCAUCCGCCGCGCCUCCGCCGGCUGCUCGCGCAGGUCCGACGGGGUGCGGACCGCGUCGCCCGUCCCCGUCCCCCGGCCGCCCAAGCCCACGGGCUUCUUCCCCGUGCUGGGGUGCACGUGGAAGCAGAAGGGCUUGACCAGGUCCAUGGCGUCCUUGAGGUCGUGCACGCGGGGGGGCGUGACGCGGUCGCAGUCGCGGCGGCCGGCCACCAAGCGGUCCAUGACGUGCUUGCACAAGGUCAGGGAGGCGAAGACGCUGAGCAUAGCGCUGCCGCUGCGGCGGCGGCUGCUGCUGCUGCUGCUGCUGCGUGGCGGUUGUGGCGGGUGUCGCCGCCGCCGCCGUGGCCGGCAGCCCCCCAACAGCGACAGGCUCACGCCGCUUAGAUACAGGUAAAGAUACAUAUAUAUAUAUACACACACACAUCGACGUCUUCUACAUCUAGCUAAUUAAACCUCCAUUAUAGUCCUCCUUUUUACUACUAUGUAUACUAUACAUACGUACUCUAGAUAGUUAGAUAUACACUAUACCUUUCUCGAUCGCUAUGUCAAUAAAGAAAAAUAUCGAUCGAUUGAUUGAUCGUCCUCAAACGAAAGCCACCACUAAAACUGUUGGUGUGGUAUAUACAUAUAUCUAUAUCUACAUACCUAGCUAUGUGUAUAUACUACUCACCUUUAUAUUCUUAUACGCUUCACCUCACAAACUCUUUCCACUUCAACACCAGGAUGCUCUACUAGUACUCUCUCUCUCUAGAACUCUCUCUCUCUCUCUCCCGAAUGACACCCCCCGAAAAACGCACAAACGCAUAAAAGGAACCCCCUCGAAGGAACCUUCAACCUAAUUCUUCCUCUACACUACCUCUACAUACUACACACCCCCACCCUCACUCCCCCUCCUCCUCCUCCUCCUCCCCCUACUAGUGUGCUACGAAGAUGUAAGUAUCCUUCAAGUCUUCUACUACCCACACGAAACGAAUGAGGCCUUUUCCUUCUCCUCGAUAUUACUAAAAUCUCUCUCUCUCUCUCUCUCUCUCUCUCCCUUCAUUUGUGUGACACUGACAAUAAUCCCAAACGACAGGAUUUACCCGUCUCCCCUUUCAAAAACUGAUCCCUACUCUCUCUCUCUCUCUCUCUCUCUCUCUCUCUCUCUCUCUCUCCCUCUCCCCUCCACUACACUAUCCUCCUUUCAAAUAGGUCUCACUAACCACCCCACCCUAAAUUAAGUGUUCCCACCUCAAUUUCAUUGGGUGCUUAUAAAAUAAAUUGUUUUUCAUGAUGAUGUCUGAUGUUUACAGAAGGUAUAUAUAUCAUGUAGAAAAUAUAUUAUAUAUAUAUAUAUAUAUAUAUAUUUGUGACAGGCGGAGCAAAUAAAAUAAAUCUAAUCAACUUUUAUAUUUAGUUAAUUCUAAGCUUGAACCUAGAGUUCAUGGUUGUUAGUUCAGGAAACGGUGAACGAGAUCCUCACCAGCCACAUAUAUAUAUAUAUAUAUAUAUAUCUCAACCUAUCUUACGAUAAUUCCCCUUUGAAGUUUAUGGAGAGCACCAAAGCAUAAAAAUAUUGAAAUCAUGGUACACCAAAUUUCACAUAGUUCAAUCAUGUACACCAAAGUGUGAAAGAGCGAAAUCACGGGACACCAAAGUUCACAUAGUUCAAUCAUAGGGCACUAAAGUAAAAAUAUAGUUCAAUCACGGGACACCAAAGUUCACAUAGUUCAAUCAUAGGGCACUAAAAUAAAAAUAUAGUUCAAUCAUGGGACACCAAAGUUAAAAGAGAAAAAUAAUAGAUAAAGCCUCAUAUAUUAAAUUGUUUUAUAAUUUGGUGUCCCAUGACUUCACUUUUUCACGCUUUGGUGUCCUAUGAUUGAACUAUGUGAACUUUGGUUUCCCAUGAUUUCACUCUUUCACGCUUUGGUGACACAUGAUUGAACUAUGUGAAAUUUGGUGUCCCAUGAUUUCACUCUUUCACGCUUUGGUGCUCCCCAUAAACUUCAAAGGGGAUGAUAAUUAUUAUAAACAAAAAAAAUGAUAAUUUAAAAAUCAGAAACAUAGUUAAAAAGAUUAUUAAAAAUUAAUAAUUUAAUUUAUAAUGUUAGAUUAUUUUUGGUGAGUUAGUAGUCCCUGGUCACUCUCUCUCUCUCUCUCUCACACAACUCAAUCUUAUAUAGAUUUUCGUGCUUAAAUAACCACGAAAAUCUUUCAUAAACCAAGCCCUUGUUCCUCCUUAUUCGAGAACAAGGGAGUAAACAAAGAUUUGUUUUUGAGAACAUGGGCUCUUGUCAUCAAGAGCCCGGGAAGUUUAUUCAACCAUAUUAAACCAUAUUCAAAUCUUAACGACAAGGUAGAAAAAGAGGCCUUGUUUGAACAAGGGUUCACCAUUCUUCCAAUUAAUUUUAGAUUUAAAUUAAAAUUAAUAUUAUAAUUUAAUAAUUAAUUAUAUAAAUUUAGUAAUAGGUAACGAAUUUAUUAUUUCAUUAAUUAAUUAAAUAAUAAAUAUUAAUUAAUUGACUAAUUAAUAAAUAUUAAAUUAUACAAAUAGGUAUUUGAUUAUAAAAUAUAACUAGUUCGUAAUUAUAAAAAUAAUUAGAUUAAUUAAAACAUGAUUAAUAGAUUAAUUUUAUUAAAUAAUUGAUAUUUUUCAAUUUAAUAAAAAUAUAAAUUAAUUAAAUAAUUAUAUAAAAAUAAUAGAAUAUGUUAUAAAUAUCAAUUAUUUAAAUUAAAUCUCAAUAUUAAGAAUAAGGAGAACAAGAUUAUAUUGAUAGAUUCAUGAUAAAUGGAAUAAGGGUUUUUAUUAGGUUAAAAGUAGGUUUUUGUUUUAACCAAAUCAAAGACAAAUGUAGACUUGAACAUAAAUAGAGAUCUUAUUCGUCAAAAAUGAAUAUAGGCUUGGUUUGCGUCAGAAUCUAAAGAUCGAGAAUCUAGGUGAGUAACUGAGGAAUUAUCAGAAAUUUAGUUUAAGAUAAAGUGGAUAGUGUGAGUUGGGUUUACCUGAUGAUAGUAAGAUCAGGAUGUUGUGGAGGUAGAUUUCCGAUUCUUGGAUUUUCGUGGUUACCCAACCACGAAUAUCUCCAUAAGAUUGAGUUGAGAGAGAAAAAGAGAUAUAUAUAUUUCGAUCCGAGGGUUAUGAUGAAUAUUAUAGUUUUGAGACUAUGAUGUCAGAAUAAAAAAAUAGAAUCUUAUAGAUUUAGUUGCUAAGUGUGGUAAUUUUGAUUAGAUCUUAUAAAUUUUAAAAAUCUCUAUUUUAAAAUACAAAAAAGGUGUAUUAAAUAAAUACUAGUUUAAAAAAGUUUAAACAGUUAAAAGUUGUGUAUCGAUGAUAUCGCUCAAACUUCAAAUUGUCAUAUCUUCUUAUAUUUAAAUAAGUUUAAAAUUAUCUUUUGCUAAAUUUGACAGAUCUAGUUCUAGUCAUAAGAACUAGAACUUAAGUUUUUAAAAUAGAAGUUUAGAAUCUUUAACAAGUUAAAAGUGGCAAGUAAAACUGUACUAAAUUAAUGAAUGAUUUAUUACAACUUUUUUAAUUUUAAAAUAAGAAUUUAUAAAAUAUAUAGGAUCUAAUAUAAACUGUCACACUUAGUAACUAAACUUAUGGAAUUUUAUUUUUUGUUCUGAUGUCAUGACUUCGAGGCAUGGUAUUUAUCAUAUCAUCGAUGUAAGAUAUAGAUAAUAGAUAAUGAUAUAUGAUUUCACGUACUUUGACUAGAGAGGGUAUAUACAACUGUGUAUAGGGUAGGCAUUUAAGCCACGUGGGUCACGUGGUGUCUAAAACAUUUUUGAAAAUAAAAUAAAAUUACAUAUAUAGAUUUAAAAUAUUAAAAAUUAUAUAUUUAUAAAUUUCAUGAUAUUUUAUUUAAAUUAAUUAAUUUAAAUAAAAUUUUAUAAUAAAAACUAUAAAAAUAGUAUAUUUAAAUCUAUAUAUGUAUGUGAGCCACGUCCGUUGUUACAGAUUAUUUCUCCUCGUGGGAACCACAUGUAUACAGGUAGGGUAACCACGUGGGUCACGUGGUACCUGGAUUAUUCUUUUAUUUUAAAAUAAAAUUAUUUAUAUAGAUUUUAAAUAUAAAUAAUUUAUCUGUAAAAUUUAUGAUAGUUUAUUUAAUUUAAUUAAUAUAAAAUCAAAACUGUAGAGAUAACAUGUUUAAAUGAUUACAUAUACUCUACAUAUAUAUGUGAUCCAUGUUAGUUACUCAAUGUGAUUUCCGGUAACUCAGAUAACACCUCGUGAGAAGUAAACAACUGUGCACAGAGUAGGUAUUUAAGUCACAUGGUCCACGUUUUAAAUUGUAUCAAGGAUAUUUAUUAAAAUAUAGUAAAAUUACAUAUAUAGAUUUAAAAUAUUAAAAAUUAUAUAUUUGUAAAUUUUAUGAUAUUUUAUUUAAAUUAGUUAAAAUAAAAACUACAAAGAUAGUAUAUUUAAAUGACUACACAUACUUUAUAUGUAUUAUGUGUUCCACACGCGUACGUUAUUAAAGGUUAUCCAUCUUCGUAAUAAGUACCUACACACAGGUAAGGUAACCAAGUCGACCACGUGAUACCUGAGUUAUUCUUUUUACAUUAUAAUAAAAUGACUUAUAUAGAUUUUAAAUAUUUAUAAUUGUAUGUCCGUAAAAUUUAUGAUAUUUUAUUUAAUUUAAUUAAUUUAAAUUCAAAAUUGUAGAGGUGAUAUGUUUAAAUGACCAUGAACAUUCUACAUAUACAUAUAAUCCACGUCAGUUACUCAGGCUGGUUAUUUUUUUUAUAUAUUAAAAUAAAAUCACUUAUAUAGAUUUUAAAUAUUUAUAAUUGUAUACAUCUAAAAUUUAUGUUAUUUUGUUUUAUUUAAUUAAUUUAAAUUUAAAACCGAGGAGUUAACAUGUUUACAUAAACAGACUCUACAUAUACAUGUGAUCUACGUCAGUUACUCAAGCUGAUUUCUAGUGAAACUUAAUUUUUGGAGUUGAUACAAUUAAACCAAUUAUAGAGGAUAAACUCGAUACAAAGAUUUAAACAAUCAAAAUAACCAAUGAUUGAUAAUUUAGUUAACCUUAUGAGCAGAUGAAAAACAAUUAAUAAAUAAUAUUCAGGUUUAAAAUCUUUUUCGUAUAGAUUAAGAGGUGCGACCACGAAUUAAAAAAAUUAAAAUCUUUAAAAAAUGUUUUAAUUUAUAUACAAAUAUUUAAGAUUUUUUUAUAAUAUUUAAGGUAGUUAAUUUUUUAAUGCUUAGUUCAUUGAUGAAAAAAAAAAUAGUAUUAUAAAAGUUAAGAGCUAUAACGAACGUACCUAGCUAUUUUUAUUAAAUUUAUCUUAAUCUUCUUAUUUUUUAUUUUUUAUUUUUUUCCUAAAUAUAGAAAACUUGUUUAACCAGCUUUUUUAUUCAUAUAAUACUUGAAAAAGAAAAAUGAAGUCUUUUAAAACUUUUAAACGCCUUGAGGUUCUUAGAUUUAUCUUUAAUAGUUUAUAGAUCUCCGUAUUAGACAUUAUUUUAAAAUAUCAAACUUUAGUCUACAACUUUGUUUAUACACAGAUAAUAUAUAUAAAUUAUCAUUAUAUAUGAUAUAAAAUAUUUAUAUUAAUUUUUAUAUAAGUAGUAUGGACGCUGUUUCGUGCCCAUGUAUAUGUAUAUGUUUAUAUAAGUUAUUGAAUUAUGAAAAUUUUCAUAUACUUGAGUUAAGAAUUUUACCAUAAUAUAUUUAAAUGAUUGUGUUAUUAAGCCUAUUUUAAAACUUUUAACGAUUGGUAAAAAGAUUCUUUUUCAUUAUGGUUUCUUGAGCGACGUAACGUCGCCAUGAUCUGGAUUCUUAACAUAAUAUAUACUUUUCUAUCUAUGGGCUAAUAACUAAAACUCCAGUCUCCAACCUUAGUGGCGACGAUAAUCAAUGGCUCUGAGUAUUUUAUUUUAUAUAUUUUAAAACCCCACCCUGCCCCGGAAUUUUUUCUUUCCCUAUUAACGGAUAUAUGGAGAGUUUUGAAGUCUUUAUAAAAUAAAUAGAAAUAAAAAAAAAAGAAAAGUUUUAUGGGGAGAAUGUAAAGAGACAAUAAAAUUUUAUAGGGAUGUCAAUGGUAGGCAAUUCAAUUGAACUUAAUUCGCACUCAAUUUAUAGAUGGCCUUAAUUUUUUUAAUUUUACGGUGAAAAUAAGAAUUGAAUUCCUGUUUAUUCUUUAUAACCUCUACCAUCUUUCCAUAUAAACUUUUCUGGUUUUUCAUUUUAUAAAAAACAUGGGGAUUGAAUUUCCGUUUAUUCUUUUCAGCCACUGCCAACUUCCCAUAUAAACUUUCCCGUUUUAUCAUUAAAGUAUAUCUAUUGUCUUAAGUAAUUGUCUAAAAUUGAGAUCCUUAUUUAGUCUUUCAGCUUUUGAAAAGUUUCCAUAUAUUCGUUAACGGGAUGUAUAUAUAUAUACUCAUCCCGAUGGUAUGAGAAUAGUCAUAAACUGGGAAACAUGAGUAUUUAAUAAAAACUACUACCCCAAAGGCUUAGCUGCUAGGUGAGGUAAUUUAUACUAGAUCUCAUAAACUUUGAAGAUUUUUUAUUUAAAGUAUUAAAAAAUUUUAGUAUUAUUUCAGAUAGUUUGCCCAUAUUUUACUUGCCAGUUUUAGCUUACUGCAGGAUUUUUAUCUACUAGCCUAGGAAGUUAAAUUCUAGCCUCAAUAACUAGAAAUAGAUCCAUUACUUAUCUUAAAAGAUAGUUUUUAAGUUGGAUAAGAUUAAGAAAAUGUGGCAAUUUGAUCGUUCAUAAGGUAUGACCGGCAAUUUUUAACAGUUAAAACACUCGAAAACUAGUAUUCUAUUUAUUACAGCUUUUUAAUACUUUAAACUAAAAACUUUCAAAAUUUACGAGAUCUAUUAUAAAUUGUCAUACUUAGCAGCUAAGCUUUCAAGAUAGUAGCUUUUAUUAAAAAAUCAUGUUCCCACUAGCAUGAGUAUUCUCAUAUCAUCGGUCUGAGAGAGAGAGAGAGAGAGAGAGAGAGAGAGAGAGAGAUAUAUAUAUAUAUAUCUUAAUCCGACCUUAUGAUAAUUAUCAUUUUACGAUAAAAACGAUAGUUUAAAAAUUGGGAACCUACUUUUUAACAUCCCAGUCUUACUAUAAUCAGCCAAUCUCAACUUACCAGGGAGAUCCCAACUAACUAGGCGUGACCCAAUAUCGUAAAUUAGGUUACCAAUCUUUAUUACUUUUCUCAACUAUGUUUCCGAUUUUUUAACUAUCGUUAUUACUUUAAAACGAUAUUUAUAAUCGGGUCAGGUUGAGAUAUAUAUAUAUAUAUAUUUUAAACUUUUUUGCUAUGUUCCUCACAACCGGGGUGUACAGAACACUUUGGUGGUUAGCGAGAGCAGGAGAAGAUGUACUUAUUGAUUGUCAACUACCCGUAUCAUAAAAAGGAAUAUCAUGCGUUACAAGGACGUGUUGUGUUCGUAAACCCAGGGUAAAGAAAUUUAAUGGCAUGAUGGGACUGGCUGUUUUCAUAUAUAUCCAUAUAUAAUAUGUUCUGUGAGGUGCCACCACCUCGUAGCUAGCAGCGGUAGGUAGUUGAGUAGUCUAGCUUAGAGUUUCGCUCUCUUGUACCACCUCAAGGGUGGUGCGAGCACGCAAUGCGUAUGAAAAAGAGUAGAAUACUAGUAUGCCAUCGUUCGUUUUCGCAUGCCUUCCGUAGAUGCAUGUCAUUUUAACCCUUUUAAGAAGAGCGAUCGUCACAAAUAUAAACAGAAAAAUAAUCAUCCUGUAAAACGUAUGUUGAGGUUUUGAAAAAAGCGCGCUUAAACUUGUUCGUUUUAUAAGAAAACCAGCAUUGUUAGGAGAUUACAGAAACGAUUUCUGUUUUAGCCUCAUUUUGCGGCAGGGAUAGUGCAUGCCACAAGCUUAGAAUUUCGUCGUACUCGCCGUCUUAUGAGCGGUAAGGUAUAUCUGCGUCUCUCUUCGUAAUGAUAGUGACGUGACGCUGCAAAGAUUUUAUGUGUUGUUUGUUAAUGGGCCAUCCGCGUGUACGCCUUUCGGUGCUCAUAAGACUCUGAGACUAAUAUAUAUAUAUAUCCUUUCUUGCUAGCGUCCCCUUAGUCAACUCCUUUAGGAAGUAGCCUAGCAGCACCACCUGGGAGAAGUACGCCAUGCGGAGGUAUAGAAGCCGCCAUUGGACAUGUUUGUUCAAAAUACAGUAUUUGCUUGUAGCUUCAUCGCGCAAGCAGCUUACGGACAAAAAAUUCAUACCGAUAUACAUACGUUAAGUUAUGGAGUAGCAAGGUAAAUUGCAAUAUAAAGGCGAAAGAAAGCAGAAAGAGAAGGAAGGAGGAAAGCAGGAGGACGCCUUUGCCUUUGCGUCCAAGUCUUAGCCGUCAAUUAGUUGAGCUGCUCUUACUCUGAGCUUUAGCCUUCAAUAUGAUGAAUGAAAGAAGUCUCGAAGACACUCUUCGAAGAACAGGUUCUGGUUCAGCAGCCCCUACAGCCAAGGGGUACAUCGCUCGGAGAAGAGGAGCAAGACGCGCCCAAACAGACAAAUUAGGUUUUCAUAGCUGCUAUUCAUAGUUCCCCAUACUGGUACGCCUAGCUUGUUUUAAGUCAUUUUAUGAACUCUUCUUAAGAAACUUUAUAAACUUUUUAUUUUUUAUUUUCUGUCUUGUAUCUUAUUCUUUAUCUUCAAGUCUUUUGUAGAAUUUCCUGGCUUUCGUAGGCCAGUUUGUUACAUUACAAUCACCGUUGUCAGUAAUCCUCACAAACCGGCGCGCCAUCGCACGUGCAAACGCCACGCGUUGACGUGUUUUGGGGCAAAAACUCUUCGAGGCGUACGUCUCGAAGAAAGCUUUCCGGUGUGCCACGCCGGGCGUGCACCUGGUGUGUCGUGGGGUGAUUUGUUGUUUUAUUGUUUCCCACACCAACUGCGUCUAUGAUGGCUAAUAUAUUUUGGUGAUUUUCAGAACGGUCAAGUUUCUUUCAAUAUAAAUGGUGUUUUGUUAAAGUGUCGAUCCUUGAAUUUAGACUAUGAACCAUCUCUAUGUUACUAGAUUAAUAUCUAAUAGAGAAGUAGUUAACUUGGAAUCAAAGUAUUUGUCCUGUUGGUUAUACCACGUUGAUAUAAGUAUUUUCGUCGUGGUCGUCCUUUGAUUUCUUUCUGCUCUACUUUAGAAAUCGGUGGAUCGUUGUAAAUUUCGUGAUCAAAGUGGUGAAUUGUUUUUCCGGUGGUUAAUAACCCACAUAUUGUGGUAUACUUUAGCUUGUUUCUCAUUUGUAAUUACCUAUUACUUAUUUUUUAUUUUAUUUUAACAGUUUAGAAUAUGGUUGGAAGACGCCGGAGGAACGCUCGGUACAAGCGGAAGUAAUUUAGACACCGGCGAAGUCGUCGGAGUUAAGGACGACUCGGGCACGUCAUCGAUAAGAAAUAUCAGACAGAUGUCGUAAACAUCGGGGUGACCACUAGAAAGGUGGUGCUUGGGGUGUGUGACCACACCAAUAAUUACAUCUGUAGAAGGAGCAUAAAUGAAAAACCUUCUCUACAGAGGACGUCUCUAGUUUAAAUCUUCGAGUCAUUGUAGGUUCUAUCAUGAUGAUUAAAAGACUACUAUUAUCUAUUUUCUAUAUGCCAUCAACCGCACAAACAGUAAGAUGAGAAACCACUUAAACGUAAAUAGAACUGUAUUUGAAAAAUUAAGAAGAGUUUUUUCCGAGUUCGUUUUUAGGAGUACGUCAGAGACUUCUACUUCUAGAGUUACAAUAUUUUAACAACGAGUUCACUCUUCGAGUCCUUGUCAAAGAGAUGAGGCUCUUCGCCAUUAACCCGUAAGAGGUUUAUCUUUAUAGCUUUCACCGUUUUUCGACUUUUCUGAUAGGUUUUCGUCUUCGAAAAACGAGCUCAUAAGACGAAAAAUACAUUAAAACUCCUAUUUGUUCUCGAAGAAGUUUGUCGAGCUGAGUUCGGUGUAAAGACAUUUUCUAGUGGUUGAGCGGUAGGAGGGGAUUUAUUUUUACUGCUUAUUUUUGGUGUACCGACGUUUCUAAUUUGUAUGGACAGGGAAUUAAUAAGCAGGUCGUGCUAGUAUAAGUUAGAGAAAGAGUGAGACGGGGUCUUCCUCGAGGGCUCCUUCUCGAAGAAGUCUUCGGCGUAAAGGCAUGAAGAGGUAUUACCAUAGGAAGCAGAACCUGAAGUUGAAGAGAAACUAUUGGAAUAUUAAGAAUAUGUCAUUAAGACGAACUCUGCCCCGUCGAACGUACACCUAUAGGACGGGAAAUAGUUUUCGAAGGGUUCGUACCUAUAACUCGACGAACUUGAGGUUGCGAACAGGUGAUUGGGCCAUAACCAAUAGUGGGACAUCAUGUUAUUUUUGUAGUCAUUCAUUGGUACAGGUUGACAUAUACCAACGUUAGAUACUUCUUCUUCGAUUUUCUAAACUUCGUGAAUGAAGUAUUUUGAAGAGUAAACCUAGGCGUAGUCCGUAUCCUAGGAGUGCGUACCUUGCCCAAAAACCUAGUAUUAUCCGUCUUAAAUGCAGUUCCAAGUCAUCUAUAAAACGUCAUAGAAGAGAUUAUGCGUUUAAGGACUUCCUCCGCUUUUUACAUAGUCGUAAGUACGUUUCCUGUCGUUUGGUAUUUACCUUUUUUUUUAUAUAUUUCCUUUAUAAUACUAAUGUAUCUGAUGUGUUCGUCGAAUAAUUUUCAUUGACAAACCGGACCUCGUUAUUCGACUUUAUUACAAGACCCGUCUUGUUUUCUUUUCAGAGGUAAAACUUUGAGGACGGAAAUAACAGUAGUACAGUACAACUAUUUUUAAUUGAUCACGUAAAAGUUUACCUUAAAGAUGUCUUCAAGUUUGAUGCGGUUUAUCGAAGACUCUAGCCAUCGACGGUUAAUAGUCUUCAAUUUUAAGUGGAUUGUCAAGGUCACGAAGGUGGUGGUCAUCAUGCUUGUGCGAAGAGGUGGAAACGUUUCAGGUAAACAAACGAGAGUAGUUGGGAUCGGAGUAGGUGGAACUUAAGUAGGAGCAGUAGAAGAAGUAGCGACUGACGUGAUAGUUGAAGGACCAAUAACAAGAAGAGAAGGUCGAAAAAGUCGACGACAAGAAAGUUCAUGAAAGAGGAUCGAAGAAGGGAUCGAAGUAUGACGAGCUAGUGUGCUCUCAUUCACCUACCUAGUUUGGGUAAGGUUGCCAGAGCAAACGGUAGCAUUAGCUCAAGUUUACAGAGGUGAAAGAGUAGUCCCCGUUAUACGUACAAACAGGUGAAACGUGGACGAGAUGCCCCAGCCAGGUACGUACUAAAGAACAGUACUCAGUAACGAGGUGUCGAUGUCUUUUGUUUUAAUUUUUUUUUUUACUAUUUAUAGAAAAAGGUGUCAACGGUGUCAUACGUUUAAUUCGUUUUAAUAUUAAACCAUUUGUACAUAACUGUCGGGAGGUUGUGUUUCCCGUAAAGCUUUGUCCCGGGCUCCAUAGGAAUUCAAAAUCGAAAGAAAAAAAAAAUUCGUGUUUUUCUCUAACGAGUUUAGUUUAUUGUUGUAACGCUUCAAGUUACUGGAUAAAGUGUGUACCGUAUAUUAUUCUCUCAACAGUAAUGUGCUAAUGGAUUACUGAAGUGCCCUUUUAUUCGUACAGUUUAGUUUCAUGAUCUCAUUUGUUGGUUUUCUAGAGCUCAUAUACCAAAAGUGUGAGAACUGGAUUGACAAUCCGUCUCCGUAUACUUUCACGGUUUGUGUUGGUUUGUUUCAUUUCCUACUUGUAUUGAUUUGUCUUUUUUGUUUUACGUAAAUGUAUUCCUUUUUUUUUUUUCCGUUAUUUUUUUCUUAAGAAAAAAAAAAAGCUAGGUAGACUGAUAGAUAGGGCUGGCAAAUGAGCGAGCCGACUCGCGUUCGACUCGUGUUUGACUCGAUAUUUGGCUCGUUCGAGCUCGACUCGAAAUUAAAUGAGCCGAGCUUGAACAAAAAAAAAGGCUCGAAAUUCAUUUCAAGCCGAGCUUGAGUAUUACUUAGCUCGUUCGAAUUAGGCUCGAAAAGCUCGAAAAGCUUGAAUAUACAUAUAUAUAGUAGAGCUACUAUGCUAUCGAAAGUAUAGAAAUCUGGUGCUUUCGAUUUUUUGAUUCUUAGAUCAAUCCUUUUAAUCGUUUCUUAUCUUUGGAUUAAUAUUAUUAUUACCUUGUAGGGACCACUCAAUCCUAAGAGUAUUAUUUAAUCCUAGGAAAGACCGCAAUCAUCCCAACCAUACAAUUUUUAAUCAAAGGAUCAAAAAUUCAAAAAUAUUAAAUCCUCUAUAUUUUUGAUAGCUCAGUAGUUCUGCAAUAUAUAUAUCAAGCCCUUUGUACUAUUUAGUUUUUGACCGUUGGACAAAAGGAUGUGCGGCUAGGAUGAUAGUGGCCCCCUAGGGUUGAGUCGGUGGUUGGUUUAAUAGUAUAAUCUAACGGGUGAAAAUGAUCACAGGAUAGAUAUAACGGUAGAAAACUCUAUAGUACCAAAGGCUUGAUACUAUCAAUAGUAUAGUAGCCGGACUAUAUAUAUAUAUAUAUAUAUAUAUAUAUAUAUAUAUAUAUAUAUAUAGUGUGAGGCUACUAUGCUUCUGGAAGCACGGAGCUUUCCACACUUCCAGGUCGCUUUUGAUGUUGUGACUUUCGAAUCCUCGAUCGGCUCCGUUAAACUUGAUCUAGAAUAUUUGAAGUACAUAGAAAAUAAAUUUUAUGAUUUGAUAUCAUUUGCCUAGUAAUCGAAGGGGCUCAAAAUCAAUAAUUUUAAUGGCCGUAUUGAGCCGUUUGGAAGUUUAAUGGUAUAGAAAUAUCCAAAUCACGUGAAAUUUUGAUAAAAAUUUUUUAUACUAUAUAAAACAAGAUCAAUAUUUUUGAUCUAAAAUUUUAAUGUCAUAUUGUCAUGUUUUGUAAGAUUUUUAUUUUCAGCCGUUGAUUUGAGCCCCUUCGUUCACUAGGCAAAAAAUAUCGAAAAAUCACAUAAUUUAUUUUCUAGGUACUUCAAAUACUGUAGAUCAAGUUUAACGGAGCCGAUCGACGAUUCGAAAGUUGCAACAUGGAAAACGACCUGGAAACACGAAAGGCUUAGUGCUUCCAGAAGCAUAGUAGCCAUACUCUAUAUAUAUAUAUAUAUAGAGAGAGAGAGAGAGAGAGAGAGAGAACUAGGCUAAUAUACUAUUAAUAGCACCAAGUUAUUAGUGCUACCAAGUUUUUGACCAUUGGAUUAAGAGUUGUGCGGUUAGGAUGAUGUGGGCCCCCCCAGGGUUGAGUGGGUGGUUGGUUGUCACGCCCCGGGACCCAGCGGAAGCCCGCCCGGUACGUGACUAGACCCGCCAUACGUCUAAAACAUAUAAGGCGUCUAAAAACAACAAUAAUAGAAGCAAUAGUAAAAGACAUCUAGGAGUAUCAGAGCAUAGUAAAUGUCUAAAUGCUACAACAAAGGAUAAGGAUGAAACUGUAAAUCCACUAAAUAAGACAUAAAGUGAUACAAGUGCUAUAGGUAGAUACAUAGGUGGUCUCUAUACAUGGAUACAAAACCUCUCACUCUCUCAACUGCAAAAAGAAAGAGUAAACCACCUAGGCAAAGUACCGCUCCUCGCUAGCUAGCUAAGCGAUCCCCUUGCCGCGAUCCCAUGCCUCCACCGGUGCCGAAGGUUCUGAAAAGUAAACCAUAAAACGGGGACGUGAGAACUAUUAAAAAUAGUUCCCAGUGGGCAAUUACUGACUUCAGUGAAUGCACCACGAGGCCCAAAGCUACAAAAGAUGUUAGUGACUAUAAAAGUAGAAAAGCGAAAGGUAAGUAAAAAUAUAACUUACUCCGAGUAAGGAUCCCACCCCUACUACUGAUGGUGCCCCGGUAAUCCGAGCAGUGGCCGGUCUGUCGGAUGCCCACCCAGAGUCCCGGUAUCUGUCGGAAGCCCACCCAGAGAAGUCUAAACUGAAACUCAUAAGUGAUACUGUACACCUGUCUACUACUCAAUCACAUGAUGAACCUGUAACUGAUCUUAUCAUUUGUUGCUUUGAAAUGAUAAAGCGUAACACUCGUAAUACUAUCAACCUCUGAAAAUGAAAUAUGUAUCAACGAAGUAUGAAUACGAUUAAUACGAUUCAUCUCUAUAGUACAACAUNNNNNNNNNNNNNNNNNNNNNNNNNNNNNNNNNNNNNNNNNNNNNNNNNNNNNNNNNNNNNNNNNNNNNNNNNNNNNNNNNNNNNNNNNNNNNNNNNNNNNNNNNNNNNNNNNNNNNNNNNNNNNNNNNNNNNNNNNNNNNNNNNNNNNNNNNNNNNNNNNNNNNNNNNNNNNNNNNNNNNNNNNNNNNNNNNNNNNNNNNNNNNNNNNNNNNNNNNNNNNNNNNNNNNNNNNNNNNNNNNNNNNNNNNNNNNNNNNNNNNNNNNNNNNNNNNNNNNNNNNNNNNNNNNNNNNNNNNNNNNNNNNNNNNNNNNNNNNNNNNNNNNNNNNNNNNNNNNNNNNNNNNNNNNNNNNNNNNNNNNNNNNNNNNNNNNNNNNNNNNNNNNNNNNNNNNNNNNNNNNNNNNNNNNNNNNNNNNNNNNNNNNNNNNNNNNNNNNNNNNNNNNNNNNNNNNNNNNNNNNNNNNNNNNNNNNNNNNNNNNNNNNNNNNNNNNNNNNNNNNNNNNNNNNNNNNNNNNNNNNNNNNNNNNNNNNNNNNNNNNNNNNNNNNNNNNNNNNNNNNNNNNNNNNNNNNNNNNNNNNNNNNNNNNNNNNNNNNNNNNNNNNNNNNNNNNNNNNNNNNNNNNNNNNNNNNNNNNNNNNNNNNNNNNNNNNNNNNNNNNNNNNNNNNNNNNNNNNNNNNNNNNNNNNNNNNNNNNNNNNNNNNNNNNNNNNNNNNNNNNNNNNNNNNNNNNNNNNNNNNNNNNNNNNNNNNNNNNNNNNNNNNNNNNNNNNNNNNNNNNNNNNNNNNNNNNNNNNNNNNNNNNNNNNNNNNNNNNNNNNNNNNNNNNNNNNNNNNNNNNNNNNNNNNNNNNNNNNNNNNNNNNNNNNNNNNNNNNNNNNNNNNNNNNNNNNNNNNNNNNNNNNNNNNNNNNNNNNNNNNNNNNNNNNNNNNNNNNNNNNNNNNNNNNNNNNNNNNNNNNNNNNNNNNNNNNNNNNNNNNNNNNNNNNNNNNNNNNNNNNNNNNNNNNNNNNNNNNNNNNNNNNNNNNNNNNNNNNNNNNNNNNNNNNNNNNNNNNNNNNNNNNNNNNNNNNNNNNNNNNNNNNNNNNNNNNNNNNNNNNNNNNNNNNNNNNNNNNNNNNNNNNNNNNNNNNNNNNNNNNNNNNNNNNNNNNNNNNNNNNNNNNNNNNNNNNNNNNNNNNNNNNNNNNNNNNNNNNNNNNNNNNNNNNNNNNNNNNNNNNNNNNNNNNNNNNNNNNNNNNNNNNNNNNNNNNNNNNNNNNNNNNNNNNNNNNNNNNNNNNNNNNNNNNNNNNNNNNNNNNNNNNNNNNNNNNNNNNNNNNNNNNNNNNNNNNNNNNNNNNNNAGGAUGGGGACGAGGGCCAGGUCUCCUUGCAUGUGCGCCACAUCGUCGCCCCCCAGGUGCUCGAUCUAAAGUCUAAACCACCCCUAUUAGCUGUACAUAUCAUCCUGUCACUAAUGACAAUUAUUAAGUAAUUAGCGCUUAAUUAUUUAAUAACUAUGUUCCUGUAAAUCAACUGUCGUGUUUUCUGAUGAUAAUAAUAAUAAUAAUAACUAAUAGAUUUAUUCAUAUAGUAUUUUAUUUUUAUAUAGAAAUAUUAUUAUAUAAUAUUUUAUUUAUAAAUUUGUAAUUAUUUAUUAAUAUUUUUAAAUAUAUAACUCUUAUAUAUUAUUAAUAUAAGUUUAUUAUAAUUUUAAAUAUAUUUAAUCUAUUAUUAAAUAUUAUAAAAAUAAUAUAUAUAGUAUAAUACCGAAUUUUUAAAAAUUAUAUAUAAAAAUUAUAUUUGAUCCCGAAUUUUUAAUUGGUGAACGUAUAAUACCUGUAUAAAUCACGUAUCCGAAUAACUGCCGAAUCCGUUUUUUAGCCGUAUUUUUCACUAAAUUUAAAAAUUAAAAGACGAAUUUUAUCCAAAUUAUAUCACUACUGAAUUUUUUUCGAAUCCGAAUUAACUAACGAAUUUAAAAAUUAAAAGACGAAUUUUAUCCGAAUUAUAUCCCUACCGAAUUUUUGCUGAAUCCGAAUUAACUAACGAAUUUAAAAAUUAAAAGACGAAUUUUAUCCGAAUUAUAUCCGUACCGAAUUUUUGCCGAAUCCGAAUUAACUAACUAUGCCUCCAGCUACCAAAGUUGGUUUAACUGCGUUCGAUCUCGAUGUGCUUAAUUAAUUAAUUUAUAUUUGAAGGGCAAAUAAGAAAAAUAUUUGCUAUAUAAAGGGUAUAUAAGAAAAGUUAGUUACGGUAGAAGGGUAUAUUGGAAUGGGCAAAAUGGUAAUUUUACAGAGAUAACGGCAGCUCACUAACGGAGCUUAACUCCAGGGGUAUAUUAGAAAGACUUGGAACAUAAGAAGGGUAUUUUCAAUAUUAGCCUUCUAAGAGUGGUAUAUAAGAAAACCGGGAACUUUUCAGGGGUAUAUAGGCAAUUGCCCCUAGAAAUAAAUUUAAAAAUAUUUUACAACAAGUAGAAAGAGCAUAGAGGUCAUUUCGCCCAAUUUUCACGAAGCCAAACCCACCGAUUUUUCGAACUCUUCGUUUCGCCGAACGAAGGUAUCCACAAGCCUCCUAGAACCCUAAGAAUGUAGGAACAAGGGUUACUCGAAUGAAAUGAACAACCAAAAGCUCAAACACUAACCAUCUCUUACUAAGGGCCAAAAACUCACCUCUUAUGGAAAAUCUCUUCACAAGCUCAAAAAGGAGGUUAGAACCCUUCCAAACCAACCAAAAGGAAGCCUCUAAUCCACUCAAUCUAGCUUCAAAAGCCCUAGAUCCAAAAGGCCCAAUUUAAGCCCUAAAACCUCAUUCUAGGGUUUGAUCUCACAAAAAUCUCAAAUCAAGGAUCAAAGGGAGAAAUCAAGUCUCUAACCUCUCAAGAAGCUCCAAAUUUAGCUCCAAUCCAAGUGAUGUUGGAGGUCUCCGCAGCCACUAGCUCCUCUCCGAGCUCUAAGCCAUCAACAAUGGUGGAGGAGCCACCAAGAUGCAAAUAGAGAAGAGAAAAUCCAAUAAAAACCAAGCAAAAGGAGUAAAAAUGCAAAGGAAGGGAGAGGGAGCUCCUCCUACCUCAACUCCUGCUGGUCUCUGCACAGGGGAGGCCCUAAGGGGCGUGGGGUGCACUUAUAGAAGUGCUACAAUAGCAAAAACACCCCUGCAGACCAAACUGCACAAAAACUGCCUCCUUGUACCGGUACACGGGCUCUUGUACCGGUACAAGGCCCACGAAAAUGCAAACCCGAGGCUCGGGUCACGGGGUCUGCGGCUCUAUACCGGUACAAGCCCGAUGGCUGUACCCGUACAACCAUCAACCUUGUACCGGUACAAGACCAACCUUGUUCCGGUACAAGCUCUGUUGCAGGCUACCCGAGAGCCGACCAAAAAUUCCAGUUUCGGGAUUUUGGUGCCAAGUCUCAAUCCAACAUCCUCGGGAUGCGUGCCCAGGAGUCGGAACACUAUCAACGACCCUCCAAAAACUGUGGAGAGGCUCCACACACAGAUCAAACACUCGAAUCUUGCGAUUUGCAAGAUCCAGUGCAUUACAUUCACCCCUCCUGAAAAGGAGUUUCGUCCGCGAAACUCAAAAGCAAACGUCAUACCUCAAGACUCCAUCGGAAAAAGAUGGGGAUAGCGCUCCUGCAAAGCGCUCUCCAACUCCCACGUAGCCUCUCGCUCCUCGUGGUUGCUCCAAAGAACCUUCACAUACGGAAUAUCCCGAUUCCGAAGCUUUUUCACCUCGCGAGCCAAAAUCUUCACGGGUUGCUCCUUGAAGCUCAAAUCCUCAUGCAGCUCCACUGGUAUAGCUCCCAAAACAUGAGCUGGAUCAUGAAUAUACUUCCGAAGGACCGAUACAUGAAAGACGUUGUGCACGCCGGAUAGGUUCGGUGGUAGAGCAAGUCGAUACGCUACCGGACCUACACGCUCCAAGAUCUCAUACGGUCCAAUGAAACGGGGACUCAACUUUCCCCGAAUCCCAAAUCUUUUGAUUCCUCUAGUUCGCGAGACCUUCAAGAAAACAUGGUCUCCAACUUGGAACUCCAAGUCUCGCCGUCGUCAAUCGGCGUAGCUCCUCUGUCUACUCUGCGCCAUCAAAAGUCGCUCCCGAGCAAUUCGAAUCUUGUCCUCAGCUUCCUGGAGCACAUCAGGGCCUAAAGCCAAUCUCUCGCCGACUUCACUCCAAUGAAGUGGCGAUCUACACUUCCGUCCAUAAAGUGCUUCGAAGGGCGCCAUCUUGAUGCUUGCUUGAUAACUGUUGUUAUAAGUAAACUCCGCCAUAGGUAGAUGCUGCGACCAUCCUCCCUGGAAGUCUAUCACACAUGCCCGGAGCAUAUCCUCUAAAGUCUGAAUAGUGCGCUCCGACUGUCCAUCACUCUGCGGGUGGAAUGCUGUACUGAAAUCCAAUCGGGUGCCUAAGGCGUCCUGUAGACUCCUCCAAAAGUGAGACACGAAGCGCGUGUCGCGAUCAGAUACAAUCGAUGUAGGCACUCCAUGAAGUCGCACAAUCUCAUCAAGGUACACUUGUGCGAGCUUCUCUCCGGUCCAAGUCGUAUGAAUAGGUAUGAAGUGCGCCGACUUCGUCAACCUAUCCACGAUCACCCAAAUAGCGUCAUGCCCCGCCUGUGAGCGUGGCAAUCCUGUCACAAAGUCCAUGGUGAUCUUCUCCCACUUCCACACGGGAAUAGGCAAACUCUGAAGUUUUCCCGCGGGAACUCGGUGCUCAGCCUUUACUUGUUGGCAAGUUAGACAACGAGCUACAAACUCGCCAACGUCCUUUUUCAUCCCGGGCCACCAAUAAAGCAACUUUAGAUCCUUGUACAUCUUGGUGCCUCCCGGAUGUAUAGCAUACGGCGCUCGGUGCGCUUCUUGAAGAAUAUCUUCUUUAAUCCCCGAAUCCGCGGGUAUACAAAUCCGCCCACGGAAACGCAUCAAUCCCUGAUCGUCCAAAAGGAAGUCGCCGGUGCAACCAUCAACCAUUUUACCUCGAAUCUUUUGCAACUCCACAUCGGAAGCUUGCUUUUCUUUAAUUCUAUCCAAAAGAGUAGGUUGCACUACCAAAGUCAUCAAUCUCAAGGGUGUGUCAGGAGUCACCACCUCCAACUCCAACCGCUUCAUCUGCUCGAUCAACUGCGGUUGAGUCACAACAUGCAUCGCUAAGUUUUCCAUCGAUUUCCUACUUAGCGCAUCCGCCACCACGUUAGCCUUACCCGGGUGGUAAAGGAUCGUCAGAUCAUAAUCCUUGAGCAGCUCCAACCAUCUGCGCUGUCUCAGGUUCAACUCCUUUUGAGUAAAUAGGUAUUUCAAGCUCUUGUGAUCCGUGUACACUUCACACCGCUCGCCAUAAAGAUAGUGGCGCCAUAGCUUCAAUGCGAACACUACAGCCGCCAACUCCAAAUCAUGCGUAGGGUAGUUCUUUUCAUACUCCUUCAGUUGGCGAGAAGCAUACGCGAUCACCUUGCCAUCCUGCAUCAAUACACAGCCCAAACCAUUAAGUGAAGUAUCACUAUAAACCACAUACCCUGCUCCAGCUACUGGUAGGGUCAAGAUCGGGGCGGUAGUCAAUCGUUGCUUCAACUCUUGGAAGCUUCUCUCGCACGCAUCAUUCCAAAUGAACUUGACUCCUUUAUGCGUGAGCCUCGUAAGGGGAGUAGAUAACCUUGCAAAUCCCUCAACGAAUCUCCGGUAGUAACCGGCCAAUCUAAGGAAGCUCCGUAUCUCCGUGACGCUCGUCGGUCUCGGCCAAUCCUUGAUUGCUUCAAUCUUCUUAGGGUCCACGGCUAUACCCGAUCCAGAAAUCAAGUGUCCAAGAAAGGCUACCUCUCGGAGCCAAAAUUCACAUUUCUUCAACUUGGCAUAAAGCUCCUUUUUCCGAAGUACUUGGAGUACAAUCCUCAAUUGCUCCUCAUGAUCUGCAUCACUUCGAGAAUAGACCAAAAUAUCGUCGAUGAACACCACGACGAACCUGUCUAGAUAAGGCUUGAAAACACGGUUCAUUAGAUCCAUAAAAGCUGCCGGAGCAUUAGUAAGCCCGAAAGGCAUAACUGUGAACUCGUAAUGUCCAUACCGUAUUCUAAAAGCCGUCUUCGAUACAUCCUCAGGUUUGAUCUUCAAUUGGUGGUAUCCCGACUGUAAGUCUAUCUUGGAAUACACACACGAUCCCUGAAGCUGAUCAAACAAGUCGUCGAUCCUUGGCAACGGAUACUUGUUCUUGAUCGUGACUUUGUUAAGUUCACGAUAAUCCACACAAAGGCGAAGUGAUCCGUCUUUCUUCUUGACGAACAAAACUGGUGCUCCCCAAGGUGAAACGCUCCGGCGAAUAAAACCCUUGUCCAACAAAUCCUGCAGCUGUGCCCUCAGCUCCCUCAGCUCCGCCGGUGCCAUCCUAUAGGGCGCCUUUGAGAUUGGGGUAGUCCCAGGGACGAGAUCUACCACAAACUCAAUCUCCCUAUCAGGAGGCAUACCCGGUAGCUCAGCUGGAAACACAUCCUGAAACUCCCGCACCACCGGGAUAUCUUCGAUCCUAGGGGUAUCAUCCUCGCCCCUUAACACCACACUAGCCAAAUAGGCUACGCAACCUCUGCUGAUCAGCUGCCUAGCUCGAGACGAGCUGAUCGUCAUCGCAAACAGCGAACUCCGGCAUCCACAAAAUACCACCUCGGUCUGUCCCGGUUCUCUAAAAGUGACCAUGCGAUUCUUACAAUCAAUCGUGGCAUAAUACUUGGUCAACCAAUCCAUGCCCAAGACCACGUCAAAAUUCCUCAGCUUGCGCAAAGCUAGCAAAUCUAUAGGCAUGAUCCAAUCUCCUACCCGAAUAGGGCAACUGGGGCUAUACUCUCUAAUAUCCAAAAUAUGGUCGGGUACAACAACGUGUCCCGUAUGCAACAAAGAAACCAACGGGAUGCCAUGCAACUCGGCAAACAGCCGAUCUAUGAAUGAAUGCGAUGCACCGGUAUCAAAUAAAGCACGAACUCUAAUGCCAUCAAGCAAAAUAAUACCUGCAACCACAUCCUCGGCUGCUGCCGUCUCCUCGGUCUGAGCGGCGUAUAUGCGCCCACUCGGGGCUUGUCGAGAUCCCUCGCUCUGGCGCUGGACAGGUGGCCGCCCAGGCUGGUACUGUGUCGAUGGAGUCCCCUGGCUGGCGGCUGGUAGAGCCGGUGCCGAUGCAGUCGACGGUGCCGGUGAAGAACCUCUCGGGCACUCGGUACGCACGUGGCCCUCCUGGCCACACUGGAAACACCUGCCCGCCCGCUGUGGACACUGCGGUGGGUAAUGGGGACCACCGCAGAUCACACACGGGGAAGGCCGGCGCCGAUCGGAUCCUCCUCGCUGUGCUGCUGAGCCGCGUCCACGGUGCUGGCUCCUCAGAUGCUUCGGCGGCCUCCUAGAGUGCGUCUGGCUCGCACCCUCAGCCGCAGGCCUCUUGGCCUUCCCUCUGUCCCUAGCCUCACGCUGCUCCUGGACCUCUGUCGCGCCGCUCUCCACGAUGAGCGCGCGAUCCACCACCUCCCGGUAGGUUUGGAGGUUAGAGGAUUGCACAAACCGGAAGAUCGACGGUCGCAACCCUCGCUUGAAGAUGCGGGCCUUGUCCUCGUCAUCCCGCACGACGAAGGGCACGCAAUGCAGAAGCCGAGAGAACUCCCUCUCGUACUCGGCUACAGUCCUGUCACCCUGGCGCAAGCUACGCAAAUCCUGUUCCAUCUUCCUCUUGACGCUGGUUGGAAAGUAGUGCGCCAAACGAGGCUCCUUGAACCUCGUCCAAGUAAUGGCUGCCAAAUCUGUGCGGGGGUUCUGCUGGAGAUCCAACCACCAACGGUAGGCCUCGCCGUCCAAAUGGUGAGUGGCGAGCCAAACUCUGUCCCUCUCCUCCACGAAGGUGUCGCGGAAGAGCUUCUCCAUAUACAUCAACCACUUCUCCACGAUCCAGUGGUCGACUUUCUCGCCGUGGAAGACUCGGGGGCUGCACCUCCUAAACUCGUUGAGGCGCUCCAUCAGUCUAUCUCGCUCAGCCCCCCCAACCAAAAUAGGGAAUGCAGCUCCAACCGGGGGCCUCUGCACAGGCGGUGCUACCAAAACCUCCUCCUGGAGUGCGGCCGCAGUCGCCGCACGCGAAGAACUGGGCGCGGGGGACGGCGCUCUCGGUGCAACGUGCACAACUGGUGCUGGCGGUGUAGGGGCCUGAGUCUCCCUAGAAGCUGCCGCUUGCUGCAAUAGUAGAUCCUCCAGACGCUUCAUCCGCGCCUCCUGUCGGCGUGCCGCCUCAGUCUGCUGUCGGGCCACCUCCGCCUGCUGAGUGACCAAAUCAGUGAGGGCCGCAAGCUGGCCCCUCAGCUCACGGACCUCGCUGGAUCCGGAGGUAGCGGAGGUCUCGACCUCCUCGAAGUUUGCCGCAUUGUCGGCCCCGGCAGAUUGGGAGCGAGUAAUCGGCAUCGUCACUACAACAUCAUAAAAACGCAAGUUAGAAAUACUCACGCUAUCGCAUCCCCGCUCAAAAGACAAACCCCAAAUCAUGCGAAAGUAAGGAAGUGUUAUCCACAACUAAUUCCAGAUGUUACGUUGUCGGCCGCCAACGUAACCCUCCGCGAAGUUAGAAGCCAAACACUCCAAUCAACUCUAACUUUUUAGAGUUAUCAUAAUACCCAAUCAUGAUACUUUCGCUCACAAGUCGAAUAGACCUCGUCUCUCACGAGCCUAUUUUCUAUAGUCCAACCGGCCUAAGGUUUGCUAGGUCCCCUAAGACAUAACCCUAGGCUCUGAUACCAAAUUAAUCUGUCACGCCCCAGGACCCGGCGGAAGCCCGCCCGGCACGUGCCCAGACCCGCCAUACGUCUAAAACAUAUAAGGCGUCUAAAAACAACAAUAAUAGAAGUAAUAGUAAAAGACAUCUAGGAGUAUCAGAGCAUAGUAAAUGUCUAAAUGCUACAACAAAGGAUAAGGAUGAAACUGUAAAUUCACUAAAUAAGACAUAAAGUGAUACAAGUGCUAUAGGUAGAUACAUAGGUGGUCUCUAUACAUGGAUACAAAACCUCUCACUCUCUCAACUGCAAAAAGAAAGAGUAAACCACCUAGGCAAAGUGCCACUCCUCGCUAGCUAGCUAAGCGAUCCCCUUGCCGCGAUCCCGUGCCUCCGCCGGUGCCGAAGGCUCUGAAAAGUAAACAAUAAAACGGGGGCGUGAGAAUUAUUAAAAAUAGUUUCUAGUGGGCAAUUACUGACUUCAGUGAAUGCACCACGACGCCCAAAGUUACAAAAGAUGUUAGUGACUAUAAAAGUAGAAAAGCGAAAUGUAAGUAAAAAUGUAACUUACUACAACAUGAUAUCUCUACUUAGCAUAAUUAGCAUAAGUAUGAAGCAACUAUGCAUAAAGUAAAAGUCUCCAACUAUCAUAAUGCUCACAAUGCGAAAUAGUAAAGUUCCGUUGUUUACUAUUCUAGUCAAUGUCCAAGUAGUACACUAAGUCAUCAUCUGUCCACAUGUCAUAGUGAAUACUCAAAGUCAAAUCUGAAGAGACCCACCCGAAGGCUGUCUAUGGCCCUGAGACCCACCCGUAGGCUGUCUGGCCGGUGCCGAGCCUAAUGGCCCCGUGGUAGUCAUCAUCCCCACCCUAGGAAUGAGCCUGUCCCACGGCAAUCCAUUUCGGCGCCCAAUCCCGCACGGCGAAUAUGAUUCGCGAUGGCUAUCUCCGGAGUGCCGGCUUGUAGGGAGCAACCCUCACAAGCAUGUGCGAAUGAGUACAAUGGCAAGUAGUCAAACGAUCUGUCGCAAGUACCAAGUCCUCAUGUCUAAUAACAUGGAAUGUGUCAAGUAUCUCAAUGGCCUAUCCCUAUGUCAUCAUGUCUCUAACAUGGAAUAUAGCAGAUAUAUAGUGGCCUAUCAAUAUGUCUCAAUGUUGCAGUUUCAUAGUUUACUAGUUUCAAGUGCCCCUUGAUGACACUCUUGUUCUCUAUGUCAAAGCAUGGCAACUAUAUUCCAAAGUACAUAUUCUAAGUCAUAAUCCUCAUAAGAGAUGUAUUUUCCACUUGCAAAAUAAACACUUUACUCGUAUGCAUGCAUUCUACUCAUAUAGCUCUACUAUAUAGCGAAAUUUUCAUAAUACACAAGGCAUGCAUUUUAAGUGUUCUAAAAUUCAUAUAAAUUCUAUUUAAUAUAGAAAUUAAUUUAAAAAUAUUUUACAACAAGUAGAAAGAGUAUAGGGGUCAUUUCGUCCCAUUUCCAUGAAGCCAAACCCACCGAUUUUUCGAACUCUUCGUUUCGCCGAACGAAGGUAUCCACAAGCCUCCUAGAACCCUAAGGAUAUAGGAACAAGGGUUACUCGAAUGAAACGAACAACCAAAAGCUCAAACACUAACCAUCUCUUACUAAGGGCCAAAAACUCACCUCUUAUGGAAAAUCUCUUCAUAAGCUCAAAAAGGAGGCUAGAACCCUUCCAAACCAACCAAAAGGAAGCCUCUAAUCCACUCAAUCUAGCUUCAAAAGCCCUAGAUCCAAAAUGCCCAAAUUAAGCCCUAAAAUCUCAUUCUAGGGUUUGAUCUCACAAAAAUCUCAAAUCAAGGAUCAAAGGGAGAAAUCAAGUCUCUAACCUCUCAAGAAGCUCCAAACUUAGCUCCAAACUUAGCUCCAAUCCAAGUGAUGUUGGAGGUCUCCGCAGCCACUAGUUCCUCUCCGAGCUCUAAGCCAUCAACAAUGGUGGAGAAGCCACCAAGAUGCAAAUAGAGGAGAGAAAACCCAAUAAAAACCAAGCAAAAUGAGUAAAAAUGCAAAGGAAGGGAGAGGGAGCUCCUCCUACCUCAACUCCUGCUAGUCUCUGCACAGGGGAGGCCCUAAGGGGCGUGGGGUGCACUUAUAGAAGUGCUACAAUAGCAAAAACACCCCUGCAGACCAAACUGCACAAAAACUGCCUCCUUGUACCGGUACACGGGCUCUUGUACCGGACAAGGCCCACGAAAAUGCAAACCCGAGGCUCGGGUCGCAAGGUCUGCGGCUCUGUACCGGUACAAGCCCGAUGGCUGUACCCGUACAACCAUCAACCUUGUACCGGUACAAGACCAACCUUGUUCCGGUACAAGCUCUGCUGCAGGCUACCCGAGAGCUGACCAAAAAUUCCAGUUUCCUGAAUGUUUUGUUGCAAGUCUCAAUCCAACAUCCUCGGGAUGGACUGGCCAGAGGGCGAACACUAGAUCAACGACCCUCCAAAAACGUGGAGAGGCUCCACACACAGAUCAAACACUCGAAUCUUGCGAUUUGCAAGAUCAGUGCAUUACAUUGGUUGAAUAGUAUGAUCUAACGGUAAAAUGAUCAAAGGGUAGAUUUAACGGCGGAAACUUAGUAGCACCAAGUGCUUCGUGCUAUUAUAGCAUAGCAGUCGACUAUAUAUAUAUAUAUAGAGAGAGAGAGAUAGGCUACUAUACUAUCUAUAGUACGAGCUCGCGGACUAUAGUGUUGGUUUUCGAUUUAGGGCGUUCAAAUCAAUGAUCCAUACCGUUAAAACUGAUCUAGGAUAUUUAAAGUUUCUAGAAAUAAAACUUUAUUAUUUUUUAGACAUAGUUUACUUUAUGAAUCAAAUAUUCAAAAUUGUCAAUUUUAAUGGGCUAUUAUGACAUGUUUGGAGUUAAACGGUGUAGAAGAAUCUAAAUUCUUCAAAUUUGAUAGAAAAUAUUUUAAACUAAUAUAGAUUAAGGUUAACAUUCUUGAUCUUGAAUUUAAAAGUCCUAUACUCAAAUUUUAAAGAUUAUUCAUAUUUCACCGUCUAUUUGAUAAAUUUAUUUACUAGUAAAACGAUAUCGAAAAAACUAAAAUUUUAUUCUUAGAACAUUCAUAUACCCUAGAUCAUAUUUAACGGUGUGGAUCGUUGAUUUAAACGCCCUAGGAUCGAAACAAACACUAUAGUAUCGGAGCUCGUACUAUAGAUGUAUAGUAGCCUAUUUAUAUAUAUAUAUAGAGUAGAGCUACUAUACUAUCGGAAGUAUAAAAUUAUUGCUACUUUCGAUUUUUUAGCCCUUAGAUCAACUCAUUGGUCAUUUUUAAUUAUUGGAUUAAUAUUAUUAACCAAUAGGGACCACUCAACCCUAAGUGGACCAUUAUUAUUCUAACCGUAGAAUUUUUGAUCCAAGGGCUAAAAAAUCGAAGCACCAACUACUUUAUGCUUCCGAUAGUAUAGUAGCUCUACACUAUAUAUAUAUAUAUAUAUAUAUAUUUGAAAAACUUAAGAUGAUGAUGUAUUGAUGUAUAUUAAAUAAAUUAUUAAAGAAUUUAGGUGAUUCUGUUGAUUCGAGAGUUUUAAUUUUCCUACGUUUAGUACCCAACCGACCUAAAUUUUUACAUGAAACAAAACUGAAACUAACGUAAACGAGCCUGUUUGAUUGGAUAUAUAUUUCAAUUUAAACCGUAUAUGUAGUGCUCACUCCUGCUAUAUGAUGUCACCAUAUUAAUUGUUUGAUUGUGAUCCCACAGUUAUGAAUUAUGUACGGAAGUAUCACUAAAUUACAAAAAUAUUACUGUGCUUGCUUUAUCUGUUGUCUCAAUACCCUAUUAUAUGAAAAAUUAUAUCAAUUAAAAUUAGGUGAUAUUAACUAUUUUAAAUAGAAAGUUGCUAUUUGUACCCUGUGUAAAUUUUAUUUCCCUUUAAAUUUUUACUAUAAAAAAAUUGACGAGACAAGUAAUAUUUCCCAUUAAAACAAUAAGAGAACCUACAUAUGAGAUCUUGACCGAGGGAGCGUAAGAUCUAUACUUUCUUUUUCGAUAAAUAUACAUAUAAAUAAUAUUUCUCUUUCAAAUAAAUUUAUAAUUAAAGUUAGGUUAUUUAUUUCAGAUGCAAAAGUUUUUUGAAAUGAUAUGGCAUGCAACGAUGUUGCACAUUUGGUUGGAAGAUAUUUUUGGAACAAGAGGCCGCAUCUCCUAAUUUGUACCCAAGCAUUAUCAAAAGAUGGUGAAACUAGUUGUUCAGCUGAUUUAAAUUGAUUGAUUUUGAAUAAUUCGUUAAAAAUUGCUUCUGGGGACAAAGAACAAUGUUGUUCUUUUCUUAUUUUCUUUUUAUUUUCUUAUAUAAAUAGAUAAAUAAACAAGCAAAUAUCCUAAUAUAAAUAUUAUUUUUGUUAUAAAAUAUUGUUUUACUAAAAUUUAGACUUAAUUACACUCUACAAUGCUGUAUUUUAGUACUAUUUUCAUGUGCUAUAUUGUACAACUUUUUUUUCUCAAAGACAUCAUUGUAUUAUUUUAUUAUAUUAGCCUCUACAUUGUAUUUUAGAUUUAUAUUUAUUUGUAUAACUUGUACUUUUUCUUUUUCCUCAUAGAUAGUAAUUUUCUUUCCCUCAUCAAUCUCUAUAUUAUUGAUAGCAAAUUUAUUGUUUUAAACAAAAUUUAACAAUUUCAUUAAAAAAGACUAGUUAAAUAGUAAAAAAAAUUUAAAUAAAUCACCAUAAUAGAAAAUUUCCUAUCAAGUUAUUUUUAAUUAUUUUUAAUUUUUUAUGUCAAAAUAAGCUGAAUAUAUAUAUGCUUUGCCAGUUUUUAUCAGUAUUUUUUAGCAGUUUUAUAAAUUUACAAAUUUAUUUUCUUAUACUGUAGAGAUUGUAAAAGUAGAAAGCAGAGUGGUGCCUUUAAAAAAAUUAAUAUAGUAUAGCGCAAGUGAAAAAAAUCUGUAAACUAUAGUUUAAUUUAGCGUAAUUAAGACAAUUUUUUAUUACAUAGAACUAGGCUGGUAUACUAUCGGUAGCACCAAGACCAACGUGCUACCAAGUUGUUUUCGAUUAUGCGGCUUUCAAAUAAACGAUUGACUCCGUUAGACUUGAUCUACACUAUUAAAAAUAUUUAAAAACUAAAUUUCAUAAUUUUCAACAUUAUUUGACUAGUGAUCAAAAUGUCUCAUUAAUGACAAUUUUAAUAGCUGAUGUGUUACGUUUGUAAAUUUAACAGUAUAAAAUAAUUAAAAUCUGAUAAAAUUUUUAUAAUUUUUUUUUUACUAUUUAGAGUAAGAUUAGUACCUCUAAUUUUAAGUUCAAGUCUUUUAUCAUCAUUUUUUAAUAAGAUUUUUAUUUUCAGCUGUUCAUUUUUAGAUUACUUGUUUGAUAGGUAAAUGAUGUCGAAAAAUUAUAAAAUUUAGUUUUCAAAUACUUUCAAUCGUGUAGAUCAAGUCUAACUGAGCCGAUCGUUGAUUUGAAAACCAUAUCAUCGAAAAUAAGUUGAUAGCACGGAGGCUUCCGUGCUACUUACAGUAUACCAACCAGACUCUUAUUACAUAAUAUAAAUUAUGGAACUUGUAUGGCCAAUUUGCAUAAAAAAUCCACUUAUUUUGGACUUUUGCAAAAUCGGGCCACUUUUUUCGUUUUUGCAGAUUCGGUCUGCUUUUUCAGCAAACUGACCAAAAUACCCUUAUUACUUUUUCUCUCUCCUCUUUCUCUCACCUCUUCGUUCUCUCGUUCUUUUUUUUUUCCGCCGGAAAAAAAAAGCGAAGGCCAGGCGGAACAAAUUUUUCUUCUCUUUUUCUUUUUCUUCUUCUUCUUCCUCCUGCUGGAGCACCUUUUUUUUUUCCCUCUUCUUCUUCUUCUUCUUCUUCUUCCUGUAAGAGCACGGGGCGCGCCACGGUGACUUCCGGCCUCGCCAAGCAGCGUCCACCCGGCGGCGUUCUGCAGGGAGGGGUCGGCACCAGCGACCGCGAGCGCCGCGGCGAGGGUGGGGGCGCGUGGGAGGCGUGCGGCGAGGUGGAGCGGGGUGUCGCAGCCGGGGACGUCGCGCCGGUCGAGGGCGGCGGUCACGCGCGCCGCCCGGCGCUCCGCUCGGGCGGCGUCGGCCGCCGUCGCGAUCUCCGACGGCUUCUUCUUCUUCGUAAUGGUGUAAUGGUGCACGCAGGCCGGUGCACGCAGUGGCGGCGAGCGGGCACGCGGGCGUGCUGCGGCUGCUUCUUCUUCGUCAUAAUGGUGUAAUGGUGCACUAUUACACCAUUAAUGGUGUAAUGGUGUAAUUACACCAUUAACGAUGUAAUGGUGCACCAUUACGCCAUUAAUGGUGAAAUUACACCAUUAAUGAUGUAACCAUUACACCAUUAAUGGUGAAAUUACACCAUUACUGGUGUAACCAUUACACCGUUAAUGGUGUAAUUACACCAUUACACCAUUAAUGGUUAAUGGUGUAAUGGUGUAAUUACACCAUUAACGGUGCACGCGGCCCGCGGAGCGGAGCCGCGGGUGGAGCUCCGGCGCCGCCGCAGUGAAGCCAUGGCUCGCCGGCGCCGGCGGUGGCGCCGCCGCAGUGAAGAUGCCCACCGCUCCCUGGAUGACAGGCCCCCUCCUCCUCGCCUUCGACCAUGUCCUCGACUUCUCCCAGAAUCCUCCCCUCCAACCAUGUCCUCGACUUCUCCCAGAAGCAGAACCUAAAGCAGAAGCAGAAACAGAAGCGGGGCGAAGGAGACGCCUCCUCCUUCACCGCCACGGUCCCCGUCGGCCGUAGCCGCCACGCGAUGCGCGGGAUUGUCCGCAGCAUCCGCUCCCUCGGCGACGCGGCUGGCGGGCCGGCGGAGGCGGGGGACGAUGGUGGCUAGCGCGAAGAAGGCCCGCCCCGCGUGGGGCGGGGGCGGGGGGAGGAGACGCUGGUGUUGGGAGGGAGAAGAAGGCGAGGACGCCUGCGGUGUCGAUCCGCAGCCCGGCGGAUCUCGAGCGCGGCGGCAGCGGCGGGGGGGCGGCCGGCGAACGAGGCCGCGGCGGUCGCGGCGGGGCGGAUGAGGGCGUGGCGUUGCGCCGGCAGCAGCGGCGGCAGAAGCUCUGCCGCGGCGAUGGCGCCCCCGAUGCCGAGCUCUGCCGCGGAGCUCGGGGGCGGCGCGGCACCCGCACAGGGCCGGUGCACGCGGUGGUCUGCGGCGUCGGGGGUCGAGCGGGCGCGCGGGGGAGGUCUGGGUCAGCCGAGCCUCGAGGUUGGCCGGUGCAGCCAACACCGCCUCCCUCCCCUCCGUCGGCCGUCGCCCGGAGGAGGCGCACGUCGACGACGGCCUCGGCAGCAGCGCUCGCUGUUCCGGCUGGCCGGGUUCUUCAUAAUGGUGUAAUGGUGGCACCAUACACCAUUAAUGCGGUGUAAUUUCACAAAUUAUGGUGUAAUGGUGCACCAUUACACCAUUACACGAUUAAUGGUGUAAUGGUGUAAUUACACCCAUUAACGGCACCGCGGCCCGUGGAGGCGGAGCCGCGGGUGGAGCUCGGCCGGGCCGCAGCACGAGCAACGGGGAAUGACGACGACGCGCGGCGCAGGGUCUGCUGGCUGCUACUGGAAGAGGAUGAGGGCGGCGGCGUCGGCGGCGUCGUUGGAGGAGCGAGGGGAGGGGGGGCCGAGGCGGCGGAGACGAGGCGAGGAGGGGCGAGGGGGGCUACGGCGUGGAGCUCGUCGGGCUUGUGGGCGAAGAAGCAGAGCGCGGCGGCGCAGCCGAUCUCGGUCCUGCAGAGGCGCGGUGCGGUACUGGGCCGGGUGGAGCCAGGGCUCGACACAGCCGGUCACGAGGAGGGAAGAAGAAGAAGAAGAAGAAAGAAGAAGAAGAAAAGAAGUGGGAAAAAAAAAAAAGGUGCUCCAGCAGGGAAGAAGAAGAAGAAAAAGAAAAGAGAAGAAAAAAUUGCUCCCCGCCUGGUCUUCGCUUUUUUUUCCGGCGGAAAAAAAAAAAGAAACGGAGAACGAAGAGGAGAGAGAAAGAGGAAAGAGAAAAAGUAAUAAGUAAUUUUGGUCAGUUUGGCUGAAAAAACGGACCCGACAUCUGCAAAAACGAAAAAGGUGCCCGAUUUGCAAAGGCCCAAAAUAUAGUGGAUUUUGAUGCAGAAUGGCCAACUUGUAUAAUAACUAAUACAAUUUAGACCUGAAUAAAGAGUGAUGUUAUAUAUUUUCCACCCAGGCGAUCCAAAUUGAUAGUUUGUGAAAUAUUUUAUUUAAUUUUAUACAAAGAAAUAUAAAAUCGUUACUCAUUAGAUUUAUUGGUCGUGAAAUGUGAAUUUUACCAAGUAACAUCAUUUUUUAGGCAAAAUGCAAUUUUGCCUGCAAAAUUAACGAUGAGCCGUGCGACAGUUUGAUUCCCAAAAUUUAAUUUAUCAUAAUUUUUAACUCAAAUUUAAUUUUUAAACAGUUGCAAUCAAGUCUCACAGUUUAAUUUAAUUUGCUGAAUGAUGAUAAUUUGUUUAUAUGACAGUGAUAUGGCAUCUCUUAUUGUUGCAAAUGUGACAUAUUAUCAUUUAGUGAACUAAAUUAUAUUAUGGGACUUGAUUAAAACAAUCUAAACAAAGUCGAGUUAAACGUUAUGGCGAAUUAAAAUUUGAGUGCCAAAAUAUCACACACUGUAUAGUUCCAGGGUGAAAAAUGCAAUUUAGCAAACUUAUUAUUAUGUUAAAAGAAUGUAUGUUAUUAUUUAGGAGUAACUACUUAUAUACCCCUGAAAAGUUUCUGACUUUCUAAUUUACUCCUCUUAAAAGGCUAAUAUUGAAAAUACCCUUUAUACGUUCCAACUUAUUUCAAAUAUACUCAUAUAGUUAAAAUUCGUUAAUGAACUCUGUUAUCUUUGUGAAAUUACAAUCUUGCCCUUUCAAAUAUGCCUUUCUACCAUCAUCGACUUUUUUUAUUUGCCCUUAAGUUAGGGGCAUAAAAAAUAUAUUGCUUUUUUAUCUUUUCAAAUAUAUCCUUCUAUCAUCACCGGUAUUUCUUAUUUGCCUUUAAGUUAAGGACAGAAGUAGCAUUUUAAUUUUUUUUAACUGUAGUAAAUAUUUAACUUACGUUUAACCUAAGUUAACUUAACGGGUGGUAACUGUAGGGGUAUUUUAGAAUAACGGAGGAACAUAUGACGGGUAUAUUGAAAAGAAAAAAAAUAGUGAUAAAUGAGAUAUUUUCGAAAUUUUGAGAGGUAUAUAGGCAAUUAUCCCUAUUAUUUACCACAAAGUCCAUGCUUAAUUUGUGUAGAUUUGGUUUAGUUGAAUUAAUAGCCAAAUUAAUGUCAAAUGACCUCUCCAAAUUUAAUUAAUUUGAUAACUAGAUCUCAUAAAUUUUAUCUAAUAAUAUAAUUAAGCCUUCGCCAAAAGGUUCCUACGUUUUCUUAAUUUUCUCAAGUAUUAGAAUGCUUUUUUUUUUAAAAAAAUGCCACUUUCCAACAUUAAUUUUCUCAAGUAUUGGAAUGGCUGUAAAUAUAGUUAAUAAAUUUGCCUGGGAAAGAAAAAAAGAAAUGCUACACAUAUAUAUCUACAUAUAUAGAUUUGAACUUAUCAAUUUGUCCAUUCUAGUAUUUAUAAAAAUUUAAAAUAAAUUUUGAACAAAAUAGAAAUGAUAAGACAAGUUAAAAGUAAUCGGCUUUAAAAUGAGAAAGCUGUGAGAUAUGUCGCUAGACUAGAAAUGUACAAAUAAUAUUGUUUGAGACAAAAACUAUUAAUUAAAUUAUUGAACAAAAUUUGAAAAGUUUACUACUCAAAGGGAUUGUUUGAUUAAUUACACGUAAUUACAAUUGUAUUGCAUAUCCAAAUUAAUCCAUUAUUUAUUUUGAUGCUUUUGAAUUCUGCAAUAGCAACUGCAUGAUAAGGCUCAACAGUUAGAAUUAUGUCUAAACUAGUGAAGUUACCCGCGCAUUGCGGCAAAUUAAUGCUAUAGAAGAUAAAAGAUUGAUAAAGUUAAAAUUUUAAAAUUUUUUGAGUUGUCAUGAGGCAUCAAUAGAUACAAAUUAAUAGAAAAUAUAAAACAAAUAUACAUAAAUGUAGCAAAAGUUAUAACAGUAAAUAAAUUAUAUAUAAUAAUAAUGAAAGAAACAGUAAUAGAGUUACUACUCCAAAUGCACCUUCGUCGCCCUGUCGAGAUCGGACAGGCGAUUCUCGUUUUUUUGCAUCGCCUUCACCGCCAUUGUUGGCGUCGAAUUUCUCCUUGAUCAUGGCCACGUCAAUGCUGUACGGAUCCCCCCACACCUAUCAUUUCUUUUCCCUCAUUGACUCCAAAUCCAUCACACUUCACCUUGCCACGUUCCGCAAUCCUUAAAACUAUAAUUUCAAUCCAUACACAAUUUAAAAAAAUAAAAAAAAUGAUUAAGAAAAGUAUAAAAAUUGAACCCUUCAUUUGCACUAAGAAAAAACAAAAAGAAAAAAAAUGCGAUAAAAAUGAGUAUGAAGAGAUCUUAUUUUACUCUUCUUUUUAAAAAGAGAUUUGUUUAGAUGAAAAUGGAUCAUGUGAAUACAUUAUUAGAAAAUGGGCGGAUGGAAAGACGAAGUAUCGAAUAGAGAUGAGGUGGGAAGGCGAAGCAUUAAGGAGUGAGAAGGGAGGGAGGUGAAGGAGGAAUUGCCACGUGACAAUCUCCAUAAAAAAUAAUGUAUACUAGUGUAGGAAUCUGUGCGAUAAAUUAAAUAUACAAAUAAAAAUAUAAAAAUAUAGUAAAAAAUAAUUAAUAUUUGAUUGGUUAAUAAUAUAAAAACUAUAUUAAAAAAUUUUUUAGAAUGAAAAUAUAAUCCAAUGGAGAACAAAGAAAGAAAACAAAAAAUAAACAAUAAGAGAAUAAAAAUUGUUGAUAGGAAUUAAAAAACCAUAAUUGAAUGCAAGAAUAAAAGAGAAGAGAAAAAAUAAAAAUGUGAUUUCGUUGGGGUUGGUUUUAUUACUUGACGAAUUAACGUAAAAAAUAUUUGAAAGAAAAUUAGCCCCACCUUAAUUAAAAGAGAAAGAACAUGGGCUCCACAAAAGAGGAGGGGAACAGUCCGAAUAAAAAAAAGAUAACAUAAGAAAUAUUUGGAAGGAAGCGGUUCCAUCUUAAUUAAGAAGAGAGAAAAUGGACUCCAUGCCUCCACUAACAUUCUAAUUAAGAAGAGAGAGAAUGUGAACUCCAUCCUAAUUAAGAAGAGAGAAUAUGAGCUCCAUGCCUCCACUAACAUCCUAAUUAAGAAGAGACACUACAACAGAAUUAGGUUAUAGGGACACAUGUUUGGAACACUUUUGAGUAAGUGUCCCAUUUAUCCUAAAACGUAAAAAAACAUCUACUAAUGCCUAUAUAUAAAGUCCAAUCCAACCAAAAAUAAAAGAUUACUCUACUCAACCCACCACACCCAGUCCAUUUGGCCCGAUUACAAACAGAAAAUACUACACCCGGGGGAUCCCAACUCACUCAAUAACCAACUUAUCAUAUUAGAUUACCUAUUUUUAUUAGUUUCCCAAUUUAGAUUACCGGACGGACAGAGCACCCGAGCCUCUACACAUAUUCUCUGAUAUAUAUAUAUCAGGCCGAUGAUAAGAUAAUUAUCGUGUUUCGUGAACCACGAUGGUUCAAAAGACGGCAAUCUAGAUAGGAAAACUAGUAAAAAUGGGUAAUCUAGUAUGAUAAGUUGGUUGGUGGGUGAGUUGGGAUCCCCCAGGUGUAGUAGGAUUGGCGUAUAAAGAAUUAGGUUACCGGUUUUCGAAUCAUGGUGGUUACUAAACCACAAUAAUUAUCGUAUCAUCGGAUCAAGAUAUAUAUAUAUCUCUCUCUCUCUCUCUCUACCUCUUUCUCUCUCAACUCGAUCUUAUGAAAGUUUUCGUGGUUACUCCAACACGAAAACUCAAAAAUUGGUAACCUACCUCCUUACAUUCCAACACUACUACCACCAUCCAGCACCAUCCACCUUAUCACAAACUAGGUUACCGAUAAUCAUUAGUUCCUCAUCUAGGUUCCCGAUCUUUGGAUUUUCGUGAUUAUUCUACUAUGAAAAUUUUCAUAAGAUCGAGUUAAGAUAUAUAUAUAUAUAUAUAUAUAUAUAUAUCAUCCCGAUGAUAUGAGAAUACUCAUAACCUGGAAAGCAUGAGUAUUCAACAAAAGCUACUACCCCGAAGGCUUAGCUGCUAGGUGAGGUAAUUUAUACUAGAUCGUAUAAACUAUGAAAAUCUUUUAUUUAAAGUAUUAAAAAGCUUUAUUAUUAUUUCAGGUAGUUCGGCUAUAUUUUACUUGUCAGUUUUAGCUUGCAACAGAAUUUUUACCUACUAGCUUAAUUCUAGCCUCAAUAACUAGAAAUAAAUCCAUCGCUUAUCUUAAAAGAUAGUUUUUAAGUUAGAUAAGGCUAAGAAAACGUGGCAACUAAACCUUCGGAAUAGUAGCUUUUGUUGAAUACUCAUGCUUCCGCUAACAUGAGUAUUCUCAUAUCAUCGGCCUGAGUAUCUAUCAUCCCGAUGAUAUGAGAAUACUCAUAACCUGGGAAGCAUGAGUAUUCAAUAAAAGCUACUACUCAUAACCUGAGAAAUAUAUAAUAAUAAUAAUAAUAAUAAUAAUAAUAAUAAUAAAAUAUAACAUGAUAUUUUAUAUUACUUAGGAGUAUCUAAAAUUCGGGAGAAGCGUUAAGUGCUUUUUUUCACCCGGGGAGGGGAGAGAUUUGGAUAUCUUAAUAAGAGAAUUAAUCACCUCAGGUGUAAGAGAGAGUGAUGUCGUUUUUACCAGAUAUCGCUGUGAAAAUUUACAUCCAUGUAUAGUUUUUUCACGACGAUCGAUUUUAAUGGCUGUGAAAAUUUUUCACAACGAUAUACACCCCAGCGAUCUAUAUAUCACUGUCAAUUUCUCACAGCGAUAUUGGAUUUUCUCACAACGAUUAAAUGGUUGUGAAUAAAUUCGUAAAUCGUUGGCGGCUUUGAGAUAGAGCAACCGACGCCACCACCUCCUCCUGCUGUACUUUCCGAAAAGCAGAUCUUAAAGUCACCUAACUCACUUCUCUCUUCUUUUCUACCAUUAACUAAAAAGAAAAAAGAAGNNNNNNNNNNNNNNNNNNNNNAUUUAAAACUUCUAGAAAUCAAAUUUUAUAAUUUUUCGACAUCAUUUACCUUACGAUCAAGAGGUCACAAAUUUGACAAUUUUUAAUUGCUGGUAUGGAAUACUUGCUAGUUUAACGGUGUAAAAAAAUUGAAAUUUGUUGAAUUUUUUAUAGAAAAUUCUAUUCACUACCUAGAUAAAGAUCAAUAACUCCGAUCUUGAAUUGAAGAAUCUGAUCAUCCUUUUUUAGGACGUCGUUCGAUUUUGACCGUUCAUUUUAUGCCCGCUUGAUGGACUUUAUUAUGAUUUCGAAAAUUUACGAAAUUUAUUUUCUAAAAGUUUCAAAUACUCUAGAUCAUAUUUAACGGAGUGGAUCGUCGAUUCGGAAGCUCCAUAAUCGAAAACAACUAAUGAGUACGAGGGCUCCAAUACUCAUAAUAGUAUAGUAGCCACGACCUAUACUAUUUACAAUAAGAUCAAUAUUUCUGAUCGAAAAUUUUAGUGCUAUAUCACCACUUUUUAUAGGAUUUUUAUUUUCAGCCGUUAAAAAUUAUUGAUUUUGAUUCUUUUCGAUUGCUAGGUAAAUAAUAUCGAAAAAUCGAAAAAAUUAUUUUCUAGAAACUUCAAAAACGCUAGAUCAAGUCUAACGGAGCCGAUCGUCGAUUCGGAAAUUUCAUUAUCGAAAACGGCUCAAGAGCACGGAGGCCUUCGUGCUCCUGAGAGCAUAGCAGUCCUGCUCUAUAUAUAGGUAUAGAGGUACAGAUAUAGAUUGGCCACAAUUUCAACUAUAGUACUUAAAAAAGAGAAUAAUUUUAAAUAAAAAUAAUUUAUCUCCCUAAAAAUUUUUUAAAUAGAUUUUUUUUUCUCUUUUCCAUAUAGGGGAUAAUCUUAUCCCUCCUAUAUUUAUAUAUAAAACAGUAAAAAUUCGAAAAUUAAUACACUUUUUAAUCGCAUUGCACGUAAAUAAAUAUUUUAUUUAUUUUUAUGGUACUUUCAACUAUAUAUGUCCAACCAAAAAAAUACAUAUAGUUAUAAUUAAUUUAAUUUUAAGUAUAUAUAUAUAUAUAUAUAUAUAUAUAUUAUAUUAUAUAUAUAUAUAAAACUAUACAUAAAUAUAUAAUUACAUGGAACCAAAGAAGGCAAACAUAAAAAAAAGAAAAGAAAAGAGAGAAAGUGGGAGAAGGUGUUCGUACAAUUUUUCUCUAUAUAAGUUUUUUGGAUGAUUAUAUAUAUAUACUAUAUAUAUAUAUAUAUAUAUAUAUAUAUAUAUAUAUGAGUGCGUCUAGUAUGCUUCCGGAAGCACAGAGCGCUCCGUGCUUCCAAGUUGUUUUCGAUGUUCGGACUUUUGAAUCGACGAUCGGCUCCGUUAGACUUGAUCUAGAGUAUUCGAGUAUCUAGAAAAAUAAAUUUUGUGAUUUUCGAUAUCAUUCGGCCCAAUGAUCGAAGUGUCAAAAUCAAACACCAUGAAAAUAAAAAUCUUACAAAAUAUGAUGAUAUGACAUUAAAAUUUUAGAUCAAAGUUAUUGAUCUUGUUUUAUAUGGUAUAAAGAAUUUUUUAUCAAAAUUUCAUGUGAUUUAGAUAUUUCUACACCGUUAAACUUGCAAACGGCUCACCACGGCCGUUAAAAUUAUUGAUUUUGAGCCCCUUCGAUCACUAGGCAAAUGAAAUCGAAAAAUCACAAAAUUUAUUUUCUAGGUACUUCAAAUACUUUAGAUCAACUCUAACGGAGCCGAUCGUCGAUUCGAAAGUCCGAACAUCGAAAACAACUUGGAAGCACGGAGGGCUCUGUGUUUCCAGAAGCAUGCCAGCCCACUCUAUAUAUAUAUAUAUAUGGCCUAUUUGCAUAAAAAAUCCACUAGUUUUGGGCUUUUGCAAAAGUGGGCCAAUUUUUUUGAUUUUGCAGAUUCGGACAGGAUUUUCAGCAAACUGACCAAAAUACCCUUAUUACUUUUUCUCUUUCCUCCUUCUUUCUCCUCUUUAUUUCUCUCAUUCAUUUUUUUUUCUCUCGCCGAAGAAGCAGCGGAGGCAGAGGCGGAGGCGGAAACGACCCACCUCGCCUCUCACCCUCUCGCCCUCGCCCUUGCCCUCACCCUCGCCCUCGCACGCGCACCCCGCACCUUCCUCGCCUCCGACCCCUCCAAAGCCGCACCGCGACUCUUUUUUUUCUUUUCUCUCUCCGACUCUCCUCCACCGUCUCCGACGACGAUGUCUCUCUCGCCCUCUCUCACCCUUCCCUGCCCUUCUCAUCCUCUCCCUCUCCUUCUUCCUCUGCUGCCUCCGACGACCACGCAUCUGCGUUGAUGCUGACGCCGUAGAUGUAAUAUACCGAAACCUCGGUAGAGUAUAUCGGACAUUAGUCAAAUUGACCAAAGUGUCGGAGAGAAUAGCUGGACAAAUUUCACUUAACAUUCCAACAAUGUUGGAAGGGUUAAUGUUGAGUUUUAAAAGAGUUAGAAAGGUUUUAGCAUUGCUCGACGCGAAAUAGAAGCGAAACAAUGCAAAACUGAAACUCUGGAGUUUUUGUAACCGGUUUAACACCAGGAGUGUACCGGUACCAGGCAUCAGACCGAGAGAAGCAGCUCUCGGGUUUGAAAAAAAAAGGCUGUUGAACCGGUGACAAAAUCGGCUUGUACCGGUACCAGACUGCUGGCCGAGAGAAGGAGCUUUCGAGUUUGCCUCUGCGUAAUUGUGUAACCGGUGACAAAAAUACCUUGUACCGGUACCAAGUCUGCAUCACAACAGAUUUUAGUCUGCUGCAAAUAUAAAGUUUUGGGGUGCCUGGUUGCUAUUGUAGCAACCUAUAUAAGACCCCAACACCCUCUCUUGUUUACGGCAAGCUGAGAACACAUUUCCUCUCUCUUUUCUCCCUCUCUCUCUCUAGAAACUCUCUCCCAAGCUAAAGGAGGAGCUCAAGAGGUGGAUUUUGGAGGAGAUUUGGGAUUUUUGAAGGGUUAGAGCUUUCCUAUAAGGUGGACCUUGGAGUGCUCUUGGGCUAAGGUGAGUUUUUAUGCAAGAAUGAUACUAGGGUUUAGUUUUAUACCCUAAAUCUUUGAGUUUUGAUCUUCUUGCAAGGUUAGAAACCUAGUAGAGGCCAUGAACACAAAAAAAUUCAUGUUUUCUUCAUGAGCUCUCAUGAUGGAUUUCUAGGGUUCAUGUUAGAUGCCCUAGGAAUGGUUUGAUUGACCUAGAAAUGGUUUUAGAGGAAAUCUUAGAUGGCUCUAAACUUAUUUUUGCUUAGUUCUAAGAUCAAUUCAAGGAAUAUCACUAUAUGGCAUUGUUAGGGUACAAAAAUUAGGGCAUUUGCCCUAAGUUGGUUUAAAGGCAAAUUGAUCUUAUAGAAAUCAAAUUCGGGGUAUUUCUAACUUACUUAUUAAGUUGGUUUAAAGGCAAAUUGAUCUUAUAGAAAUCAAAUUCGGAGUAUUUCUAACUCGUUUAUGGACUGGGUUCGCCGAUCUGACGAGUCUACGCAAAGUUAUGAGCAAAAAGUCUAAUUCGGUUUCGUUUUGCAGCAGGCGAGAGAAUAGGAGCCCAAAAAUUUCGAGAUUUGAACCGUAGCACCCUUGCAACCAUACAAGAUGGGUGGUGCUUUCCGAAAUCAUUGAAUUUUCUCUUAUAUUUAAAGUGUCAUUUUUGAGCAUAUGUAUGUAUAGUAUCUUCAUGCAUUGUAGGGUUGAUUAAGAUAUAUAUUUGCAUGCUUGUAGUAUAAAGAUGCAUAUGAGAAGUUGAACAAAGAGGAAACCCUAUGUAUGCAUAAAUGGUGACAAAGAUCUAGAUAAGGUAAAGAACAAAAUGACAUAAUGACAUAUGGAUGGUGUGGCAUUAGUAAACACAUAGAGUGGCAUCAAUGAGUUUGAAUGCUAGUGUUGAACACUUAGUGUGUGUGGCAAUAAUGAAUGCAUAUAAAUGAGUAUAAAGAACAUGUAGUGUAAGUGACAUUAAUGAAAGUUAAAGAAUGCAAGUAAAGUGAGGUAGUUGAUAUUAUGACAUAACAACCUUAAAGUUAAGGGUCAUAUGAGUAUAGCAUCCUUAUAGUGAAGGAUUGGAUUGAACUUGGUAUCCUUAAAAUUAAGGAUUGAUCAUACUCGCCUAUAGUCUUGGCUCGGAGGAAGGAACCUCCUCCUCGAGAGAUAAGCUCCGGAGUUGUUAUCAUUGGGUUAGUGUUACUCAGAGGACGGUCCCAUCGGGAGAAAACUUAGGGCCCGAUACUAGGGAUUUGGUUGGUGAGUCUAUUGGUCCUGUCGGGAGGAAGCUUAGAGCCCGAUAGUAGGGACUUGGAUUGGUAAGUUGUUGGUUGAGGCGAAACCUACGGGUUAGUCAAAAGGGCCGGGAAUUGGAAAGUAAUCUUGCAUUCAUCAUGAGCAUUCUAUUUGAGUAUAAUCAUUGAUUAUAUCUUAUUCAGACAUAUUAGCUGCACUUGUUUAGUUGGUUACUAUCUAUUCUUUCUUCUACUAUGCCUGAUUUAGACCUAGUGGGAAAGUCGGCGAGGUCGGCGGCCAAACCGAUUGGAAACUUUGUUGUAGUUUUUACCCCCCCCUUUUUCCACAGAGCCGGGACCGAGUGAGCCGGCCGAUGAUCGCGGUAAAGGUAUCGCGCCAUAGAUAGAGACCACCCGAGUUGAUUUCAUAUUUUGGUUUAGUUGCAUACCCUUUACUUCAUCUUUUGUAUUUUGAUGAUAUAGAUGUAUUAAAGAUGUUUAAAUGAUGUUAAAUGUAAAGGUUUAUUUUGGUAAGCAUAUGAUGUAUAAAGAGAAAAAAUGAUGAAAAAGAAUAGAAUAGAAUUCAAAUGUUGAAUGCAUGUAUGUGGUUAAAGAUUAAUCAUAUUACUUGUAUACAUAUUUAGUUAGUACUUUUCCUUUGGCUAUUGCUUGCCCUCGUGCAAGCCAAUUGUGUAUGUUUCCGUUUGUGCAAAAUAUCUACUUGAUUUGUACAUGUGUUGAGUCUUGGGCGGACAGGGGAGGUGCUGUCCGUUCGACGUUUGUUCGACGUGCCCGAACCGACCAAAUAGGACCGGGCUCGGGGCGUGACAGUAGAUGUUGAUGCGGCGCUGCAUCCUCGGAGCCGGGGGUCCUUAGUGGCAUCGUCGCCGGUGCCAUGGCCGUUGGCAGAGAGGGGUGACCAAAAGAAAUUGUAGAAGAAGGAAGAAAAAAAAUAAAGACAAAAGAUUAUAGAAAAAGAAAGAUAAAAAAUGAAAUUACACCGUUAAAAUAAAAGUGUAUUGUUUUAAAAGAAUGUUGCACUAUUAUGAACAUAAUAGUCGCAUCUUAAGUAGUACAACUUAUAUUCAUAAUAGUGUAACGUUCUUUUAAAAUAGUGCAAUUUUAUUUAACGGUGCAAUUUUAUCUUCAUCUUUCUUUUUCUUUAAUUCUUUAUCUUUAUUUAUUUUUCUUGUUUCUUCUAUAAUUUUUUUUGGUCACCCCUCUUUGCCAGCGGCCAUGGCGCCGGCGACGCCGCCGCUAAGGACUCGUCGCUCCGAGGCUGCAGCGCCGCAGCAUCCUUAACGGUGUCGGCGCCGGCAAAGAUGCAUCGUCGUCAGAGGCGGCAGAGGAGGAGGGAGAGGGAGAGGACAAGAAGGGCUGGGAAGGGCUAGAGAGGUGUCGUCAUCGGAGACGGUGGAGGAGAGUCGGAGAGGGAAAAAAAAAAGAGUCACGGCGUGGCCUCGGAGGGGUCGGAGGCGAGAAAGGUAGGGGGUGCGCGGGCGAGGGAAAGAGCGAGAGCGAGAGCAUGAGGGUGAGAGGCGAAGCGGGCCGUUUCCACCUCCGCCUCUGCCUCCACUGCUUUCUUCAGCGAGAGAAAAAAAAAUAAACGAGAGAAAAGAAGAGUAGAGAGAAAGAUGAGAGAGAAAAAGUAAUAAAGGUAUUUUGGUCAGUUUGCUGAAAAUUCGGACCGAAUCUGCAAAAUCAAAAAAGGCGGCCCAGUUUUGCAAAAGCCCAAAAUUUAUAAAUUUUUUAUGCAAAUUUGUCUAUAUAUAUAUAGAGAGCGAGAGAGAGAGAGAGAGAGAGAGCGAGCUAGGCUGGUAUACUAUCGGUAGCACGGAGGCCUCCGUGCUACCAAUUAGUUUUCGAUGAUGCGGCUUCCAAAUCGACGAUCGGCUCCAUUAGACUUGAUCUACACUAUUAAAAGUAUUUGGAAACUAAAUUUCAUAACUUUUCGACAUUAUUUGGCUAGUGAUCAAAAUGUCUCAAGAUUGACAAUUUUAAUGGUAGAUGUGAUGCGUUUGUGAAUUUAACGGUGUAAAACAAUCCAAAUUUGAUGAAAAUUUUAUAGAAAUUUUUUUUCACUAUUUAGAGUAAGAUCAGUACCUCUGAUCUUAAAUUCAAGUCUUUUAUCAUCAUUUUUUAUGAGAUUUUUAUUUUAAGCCGUUCAUUUUAAGACUAUUCGAUUGAUAGGUAAACGAUGCCAAAAAAUUAUGAAAUUUCGUUUACAAAUACUUUUAAUAGUGUAGAUCAAGUCUAACGGAGCUGAUCGUCGAUUUGAAAGCCGCGUUAUCGAAAACAACUUGGUAGGACGGAGGCCUCCGUGCUGCCGAUAGUAUACCACCCUAACGCGCUCUCUCUCUCUCUCUCUCUCUCUCUCUCUCUCUUCUCUCUCGUCUCUCUCUCUCUAUAUAUAUAUAUAUAUAUAUAUAUAUAUAUAUAACUCUAUAUAGAGUAAGUCUCAUAUAUUUUCGAAAGUACGGAGACCUCCGUGCUUGUAAGUUGUUUUCGAUGAUAGGAAAUCCGAUUCGACGAUCGGCUCCGUUAGCUAUAAUCUUCCCUAUUGGAACUAUUUAGAAACCAAAUUUUAUAAUUUUUUGACAUCAUUUACCAAGCGAUCAAAAGGUCCCAAAAAUGACUAUUUUAACCGUUUGUAAGUUUAACGGUGUAGAAAUAUCCAUAUCACAUGAAAUUUUGAUAGAAAAUUCUUUAUACUAUAUAAAAUAAGAUCAAUAUUUUUUAUCUAAAAUUUUAAUGUCAUAUUAUCACGUUUUGUAAGAUUUUUAUUUUUAGCCGUUGAUUUUGAGCCCUUUCGUUCACUAGGCAAAUAAUAUCAACAAAUCGCAUAAUUUAUUUGCUAGGUACUUCAAAUACUCUAGAUCAAGUUUAACGGAGCCGAUCGACGAUUCGAAAGUCGCAACAUGAAAAACGACCUGAAAGCACAGAAGGGCUCGUGCUUCCAGAAGCAUAAUAGCCUCACUAUAUAUAUAUAUAUAUAUAUAUAUAUAUAUAUAUAUAUAGUAGGUCUUGUUUGCUAUUAGGAGCGUGGAGGCCUCCGUGCUUCUAAGCCGUUUUCGAUCACGAAGUUUCCGAAUCGACGAUCAGCUCUGUUAGACAUGAUCUAGCAUAUUUGAAGUAUUUAGAAAAAAAAUUUUGCGAUUUUUCGAUAUCAUUUACCUAGCGAUCGAAAGGGUUCAAAAUCAACGACUGAGAAUAAAAAUCUCAAAAAAAAAUGGUGAUAUAGCACUAAAAUUUUCGAUCAGAGAUAUUGAUUUUGCUGUAAAUAGAAAAAAAAAUUUUCUAUCAAAAUUUUAUUUGAUUUGAAUAUUUCUACACCGUUAAACUUGCAAAUGGUAUACAUCAACCACUAAAAAUUGUUAAUUUUGAACCCUUUUGAUCGCUAGGUAAAUGAUAUCGAAAAAUCGUAAAAUUUAUUUUCUAGAUAUUUAAAAUAUGUUAGAUUAAGUCAAACGGAGACGAUCGUCAAUUCGAAAACUCUUUCAUAAAAAACGGCUUAGGAGCACGGAGGGCUCCAUGCUCCUAAUAGCACACAAGACCUACUAUAUAUAUAUAUAUAUAUAUAUAUAUAUAUAUAUAGAGUCUGGCUGCUAUGCUAUCGAUAGCACCAAGUAUUUGGUGCUAUCAAAUUUUCUGCCGUUAGAUUAAUCCCUUUGCUUAUUUUUAUCCGUUAGAUUAUACUAUUCAACCAACCACCCACUCAACUCUAGGGAGCCCACAUCAUCCUAACUGUAUAUUUCUCAAUCCAAAGGCUAAAAAUUCAAUAGCACCAAUAACUUGGUCCUAUUGAUAGUAUUCUAGCCUAGUUAUAUAUAUAUAUAUAUAUAUAUAUAUAUAUAAUACUAUUGGUCGCAAACUGGCUCCGUUGCCACCCAUUUGUUUUCGAUGAUGGAGCUUCCAAAUCGACGAUCGGCACCGUUGAAUAUGAUCUAUACCACUUGAAGUAUUUAGAAAUCAAAUUUUAUACUUUUCUGAUAUUGUUCUCUUGUCCAUCAAGUGGGCGUAAAAAUGAACGGCUGAAAAUGAAUAUCCUCUAAAAAACGAUGAUAGGAAUUUUGUAAUCAAGAUCGAGAGUAUAGAUCUUAUUCUAAAUAGUUUAAAGAAUUUUCUCACCAAAAUUCAUUUGAUUUGGAUAGCUUUACACUGUUAAAUGAGAAAACGCCUCAUAUCUACCAUUAAAAUUACAAAUUUUUAAACCCUUUGAUUAUUAGGUCAAUGAUGCCGAAAUGAUUUGAAAUUUGGUUUCUAGAUACUUCAAGUGGUAUAGAUCAUGUUCAAUGGUGCCGAUCGUCAAUUUAAGAGCCCCAUCAUCGAAAACAAAUGGGUGGCAACGGAGCCAGUUUGCUACUGAUAGUAUUCCAGCUCAACUCUCUCUCUCUCUCUCUCUCUCUCUCUCUCUCUCUCUCUCUCUCUCUCUCUAUAUAUAUAUAUAUAUAUUAUUAUAUAGAAUUAUGCUCCUAUACUAUCAAUAGUACCAAGCCCUUGGUACUAUUGAGUUUGUUGACCGUUGGAUGAAAAUGUGCGCUGGUAGGAUGAUAGUGGUCCCGUAGGGUUGAUGUGGGUGUGGUUUAAUAGUAUAAUCUAACGGGUGGAAAUGAUCACAAGGUAGAUUUAAUAGUAGAAAACUCUAUACUACCAAAGGCUUGAUACUAUCAAUAGUAUAGUAGCCCGGACUCUAUAUAUAUAUAUAUAUAUAUAUAUAUAUAUAUAUAUAUAUAGAAAUUAGGCUGGAAUACUAUUAAUGAGUAAACACUUUUUUUGCUAUCAAGUUUUACCUUGGAUGAAAAAUGUAAGGUCAGAAUGAUAUUAGUCAGUUAGAGUUGAGUGGUCCCUAGGGUUGAGUGGUCCCCAUGGGUUAUAGUAUUUAAUCCAUGGGUUAGAAUAAUUAAAAAGAGUUGAUCCAAAGGUAAAAAACUAAGCAGUAGCAACCAUGGAUUUUGCUACUAAUUAGUAGCUCCAGUCCAACUUGCUAUAUAUAUAUAUAGAGCCGCACUCUAUAUAUAUAUAUAUAUAUAUAUAUAUAUAUAUAUAGAGUCCGGCUACUAUCCUAUUAAUAGGAUUGGGACCCUUGUCCUAUCAAGUCGAUUUGAAUGAUCGGAACUUCAAAUUGAUAAUCGGCACCGUUGAAGUUGAUCUACACAAUUAGAAAUGUUUAGAAACCAAAUUUUGUAAUAUUUAAAAAUCAUUAUCAACUUCAUCAUAACAGUUGAAAAAUAAACGGUCAUAAAUGAAUAACCUUCUUAAAAUAGAUGUUAGACUUUCUCAGUUCGUAAUCAGAGUUAUCAAACAUUAUCUAAAUAGUAUAAAGAAUUUUCUAUCGAAAAUUCAAGCAAUUUGGAUUGCUCUACAUAGUUAAACAAGCAAACGAUUCAUAUAGGCCGUUAAAAAUUGUCGAUUUUACGACACUUUGAUCACCAUGUAAACCAUUAUCAAAAUUUAUGAAAUUUAGUUUCUAGAUAUUUCAAAUACUUUAGAUCAACUUCAACGACUCCGAUCAUCGAUUCGGAAUCUCGAUCAUCAAGAACAACUUGAUAGGACAAAUGCUCCUAUCCUAUUAAUAGGAUAGUAGCAUUAGCCUAUAUAUAUAUAUAUAUAUAUAUAUAUAUAUAUAGUUUGACUGGGCUACUAUCGGUAGUAAACUGAUCGGUUUACUACCGAUUUGUUUUUGAUGAUAGAGCUUCCAAAUCUUCGAUCGGUACCGUUGAACAUGAUCUAGACCAUUUAAAUUAUCUAGAAAUCAAAUUUCAUGAUUUUGUGGCAUCACUAACUGAACGAUCAAAGGGUCACAAAAUUUAUAAUUUUAAUGGCCGAUAAUUUUAACGGUAUAGAAGAGUUCAAAUCAACUAAAUUUUUGUUAAAAAAUUCUUUAAACUAUUUAAAAUAAGAUCUAUUCUCUAGAUCUCAAAUAUAAAAUUAUAUCAUCACUUUUUGAAGGAUAUUCAUUUCAGCCAUUCAUUUUUGUAUUCACUUGAUGGACAAGAGAACAAUAUCGAAAAUAUGUGAAAUUUGAUUUUCAGAUAGUUUAAAUAAUUUAGAUCAUAUUUAACGGUGCCGAUCAUCAAUUUGUAAGUUCUAUCAUCGAAAAUAAAUCGAUAGUAAAUCAAGCCGUUUACUACCGAUAGUAUUCUAUACUAACUCUCUCUCUCUAUAUAUAUAUAUAUAUAUAUAUGAACAACACAAGAAGGGUGCCAUUCCAAUUUCGAAGCGGUCAAGGAGACCGCCCAGGCGCCCCGUGAAGGGUCUCCACUUGUAAAGCAUUCACACACCCCACAUUCUAGUUUUUCUACCUUUUCCAUCUCCAUCUGUAGUAUUUUCUAAAUUAUUAAUUAACUAAUAAAAACCAACUAAAUCAAUUUAAAAACCUCGAUCCUCGUGCGACCUCUCUCUCUCUCUCUCUCUCUCUCUCUCUACUCUCUCAUACUCGCCCCUUCUUCUUCUUCUUCUUCUUCUUCCCCACUCUAUCUCUCCCUCGACUCCUCUAUAUUAUGUGUGUCCCUCCUCCUCCAUCUCCUUCACCUCUCGUCAAUUAAGUUUCACCUUGUUGUUGUGUUGUGUCCCAUUAAUAUUAUAUUAUAUAUAUAACCUUGUGUAACAAGCUAGCUAGCUAGCUAGCUAGUUGAGCACGCCAUGGACAUGGACAUGGACGCCUCCGCCCAUCAUCAAUGGCUCGCCUUCUCCCUCGCCCACCAACCAUGCGUCAGCCUCUUCGAUAACAGCGCCUUCUCCUCCUCCCCUAAUCCCCACCACCACCACCACCACCACCACCACCACCACAGUACUUAGAUCCCUCUCUCUCUCUCUCUCUCUCUCUCUCUCUCUCUUAAAAACAUGACACAUACAUAUAUGACAUGGGUUUUGUUGCGUGCGUGCGUGCGUGCGUAUGUAAGUAGGUGGUGGAGUGGAGAUGGAGGAGGCGGAGGCGGAGGCGGAGGAGGAGGAGGAGAGGGGGGCGGCGGCGGAGCUGAUGGCGAUGGCCGGAGUAGCGGGCCCGGAGCUGAAGAGCAUCACCGCCGGGCUGUGCCGGAGCGCCGCGGCGGAGAAGGCAACGGCGCCGCCCCCCCCUCCGGACUCCCGGGGCGCCGCCGCGGGCUCCUUCGGCCAACGGACCUCUAUAUAUCGCGGGGUCACCAGGUAUUAUUGUUAUUAUUAUUAUUAUUUUUUAUUACUGCUACUAUUAUUACUACUACUACUGCUGCUGCUGCUGCUAUUAAUCUACGUUUUGCCGAGUGUGGGCACGUACGCCCGCCCCACAGCGGAAACUGAUGAUGCUUCUCUAUUUGGUAAAAACAGAAUAAUAAAUGUAUCCAGAACAGAACGAUUUGUUAAUCAUUGAUUAACUUCUUCUUUUUUUUAAUGGGAUUUGAAUUAAUGAACUUAAUUUGUUUAAUAAAUUCCAGCAACUCGGUAACGAAUUAAUUAAAUUAAGAUAAUCGAUCAACAGUUUAUUGCUAAUUGAUAAUAAUAGCCAUUAAUUCCUACUUAAUGAAGCUUUCAAUUUUACUUAAAAUCAAAAUGAAUUGAGAUUAUUAUAAUUAAUAUGCGAGGAGGGGGUUGUUUCAAUUUGUUCUUGGGAAAUUAAUUGAAAGGCACCGGUGGACGGGGCGUUACGAGGCGCACUUGUGGGACAACAGCUGCCGCCGCGAGGGCCAGAGCCGGAAAGGUCGCCAAGGUAUGCAUGUCUACUCCGAACAAGUUCCACAGAAAUCCGAAUCUUUGAAUACAUACAUCUCUUUUUUUCUUUUUUUUUUUUAAAAAAAACUUUAUUUAUUAUAUAUGUACCGCUACUCCAACUUAAUUACUUGAGUAUUUUUGUGCUAACGUGCGCUUCUUAAUUUUCUGCAAUUCUUGCUCCUCCGUCCAUUUUGCUGCUUGGAUGCAUGUGUGCGAUCCUGCUGCUUCUCAGUCUAUUUGGGUACGAAUUACACGUAUUCAUUAGUGCAUUUUGUACAUUGUACCCAUUUAUUUAUUUAUUUGUUUGUUUUUUUUUUUACUUUCAGCAAAUUUUGAAUUAUUAUUUUUUUAAAAAAAUUUUGAAAUUUAAAUUGAAACGUAUACAGGUGGAUACGACAAGGAGGAGAAAGCAGCGAGGGCGUACGAUCUAGCGGCCCUCAAGUACUGGGGUCCGACAACCACCACGAAUUUCCCGGUAACUCUGCCAACCCCAAGGGCAAAACUGUAAUUGUACUCCAUACAUAAUAUGUAUAUACAUACAAAUAAGUUAGAAUACUAUUAAUAGCACCGAAAGUAAUUUGUGCUAUUAAGUUUUCGAUUCCUGAAUGAAUGAAUGUACAGUUAGACUGAUAGCAGUCUUCUAUUGUUGAGUGGCUCGCUAGUUGAAUAGUAUGAUCUAACCGGCGAAAAUGAUCAAAGAGAUAAAUCUAACGGUAGAAAACUUAGUAGCACUAAGUGCUUGAUAUUAUCGAUAACAUUAUAGGCGGACUAUAUAUAUAUUAUAUAUAUAUAUUACAC